AAUUAUAACGAUUUUUCUGAGAAGCUCUAUAUUAAUACCAUGUCAGCAGAAAUUACUAAAGUGACUUCUCUUUUAAUGUAUAGGAGGAUUUGGUUUUUCUGUUUUUCAUAUUGUUCACCAUGUUUUAAGUGUUGCAUGAAAUUAAAUUUGGUUGUAUUGUUUGAAAUCAUUAUUUGUAAUACAUUAGUUUGUUUGAAAAAUCAGAAGAAUUCACACAAUAUUUUUGUAUUUGUACGUGUGAAUGUGAGCUCGUACACAUAUUCACACACAUCAAACCCCAAGUUUCACAGAUUAAACAUGAACUUCAGUGACCCGCAGAUGGAUUUGUUAGCAACUCGAGUGACGUCUUCAGAUGUUCUACAGCCGUAGUAAAGACUUCAUCGAAAGCUUGAAAUAAUUGGAUAACCACCUAAUAAGCUUUCUUUCAUUGUUGAUCAGGACAAUAAUGUCGAGAUGAUCCAAGACCAGGUAAGAGUCAUCAUCAUCAUCAGUACUAUCACUCACUCAAGGCCACUCUGUGUUCUCAGUUCCUGUCCUUAGUUUCUGGUUGGAUUAGACCAUCCAAAACUUAAAUUUGUGUCUGAUUAAUAUUAUCUAUAACCUUAAUUUCCCUAAUGCAAGUCAAGAUUGAAGAAGCUCAACUCAGCCUCAUGAAGAUACAUAAAACAGACACAGAAACAGGACUUCCCUUGCAAGGCCAUGUCCAGCAACUUAUGGUAGAUCUUGUUUCAUCCAAUAAAUAACCAAACGACAAGAGUAAACUAUGGUGUUAAUUUAAAAAAAAAAAAGUGUAGCAAAAUAUAUGAAAACCAGCUGAGUUCCUUUCAGGCAUCAGACUCUUUCUUGUCUUCUUCGCUCUCUCCUCCUUGAGUAACACCAACCUCGGCUGGUCUUAUAACUCGAUCAAACAACGUGUAUCCAGACUGUACAUAUCAACAACCAAUCGUUACUAAUUGGUGUUAAGAGACUAUAGAAUAUGGAACAACAACAGAGAGAGAGAGAGAGAGAGAGAGAGACAAAGAAAAGAGCAAGUUUUACCUUCAAGACAUGAGCAACUGUGCCUUCUGGCUUAGAAGCAUCAGGGACUUGGAACACAGCGUUAUGUCUGUUCGGAUCAAACGGCUCGUUGAUAGGAUCAUACUUCUCCAUACCAAAUUUCUUAAACACUUCAGCAAGCUGUUUCUCAGUCAUCUCCACACCUUCUAAAAGUGUCUUCAAGAGCGGAGCAGCUCCAGCGGAGUCCUUCGAAGUGUCGUCAAGCUUUGAGAAGCUUUCUUUGACAACGGAAGAAGCUCUUCCAAGAUUAUCCGCCACAUCCAAAAGGCUUUUUGCAAAAUUCUGCAGGUAUAUAUAUAUAUACAUAUUCUCUCAGCACACUGUUACAUGAAGCAAAAGAAGCUACUUGUAGAGACUAACCUGAAUAGCAUACUUUUUGGUGUUUUCAGCAUCACGCCGUGUUCUGUCCAUGACAUUCUCCAUCUCUGCGUAAGUGCGGAGAACUUUAUCUUUCAUUUGCUUAAUCUCUUGCUCUUUCUCCGACAAAAGCUCGUCCUUCUCAGCUACAAGCUUCACCAAAUCAUCCAUUGACAUCUCCUCCUCAUCAGCAUCACUCUCGGAAUCUGACUCAGAAACUGCAGCUCGUUUAGCACCUUUCCUCCUCCUCGAAUCUUUGGAGGGUUCUGAGUCAACACCUGACUCGUUUGCCUCAGAUGUAGCUUUCUCUUCACUAGCCUUCGAGGCCUCAGCGUUGCUCUCCUUGUCACUUGAUUCAGGAGUGGUGGAGGAAGAAGAAAAAGAGAACCUUUGAAGUGGAAAUGAAUCAAGAAACACCUGAGCUGCAACAAGCUGCCCCUGAAACGGCUGCAAAAAGGGUGAAUCUCAGUCAGUGAAAUAACAUAGAGCAAACAGCAUAUACAGAGAGAGAGAGAGAGAGAGAGAGCAUCUAGUCAUUGUCUACAUACAAUUCGGAAGAUUCAAACAAAUGAGAUCAGCGAAAACAGUAUCAGAACCCUUAAACCCUAGCAAAACCCUGAGAUGAAAUUAUUCGUUACGAAUAAUGAUGAUAAAAGUCUUUGAGUAACCUUUUGAGAGAAGUCGUGAACGAGGGACGAGAAUAUAGGAGCUUGGCUCCUCGCCGGAAGAUCGGCGGCGGCGGAGAGAGNNNNNNNNNNNNNNNNNUGGCUCCUCGCCGGAAGAGCGGCGGCGGCGGAGAGAGAGGAGCGUAAGCCCAAGCCCGCGCUACGGGAAACUGGCGAGAGGAUUCUCGAAACCAACAUCAGGGAAUGCAGAGGGAAACAAGCUGAGAUAAAAAAGGAGAAAGAGUUUAUAAUCCAAAUCGAAUUUUUGAGGUAAAUGGUUAUUUCUAGAGCGCACACAGACGUGGUUAGUGUGGAGAAGAGGGGACGGAUCUCUCUCUCUCUCUAUAUGUUUGUUUACGUAGAUACCCUCACUGAUGCACGACGGGUAAAUGAGCUUGUGAGGGUAUUAUUGUCAGUCGAGAUUUGAGAACCGUCUAGAAUCAAACCCAGCCGUCCUUGUAUUGUUUUGGACAGGCAAAGUCCACACCUCUUUGGACCAAAUGUAUUCCAAUGUAACUCAACACUAUUAGAACAAGUACCAAACUAGGCAACUAGCCAGUGUUGAAGGUUAAGCCUUACUUUACUUAAAAAUUCGACUUUGGGGGCUUUGGUGAAAUGCAACUUGAUAAGAUCAGAAGGAACCUCCACUCGCUGCUUCCCAAGCAAAAUAUUCUUCAGCUUUUCAUCACAACUCACCACAUUCUUGUUCUUCGGAUCCUUUGCAGAAACAUAAAACCAAUUAGUCAGUGAUACCCAAAAAAACGUCUUUACCAAAUAAAUAAACGAUUCCUUGUUCUAACCUGAAGAUUGUUGAUCUUGAUUCUUGAUAUAUAUACGUUAGUCGAAUACAUGUGUUGGUUGGGCUACUUGUGAUUAGUGGGCCGAGGUAUAUCCACGACACUUCAAUUGAUAUUAUAUGAUGGCAUAUAUUUGUAAGGAAUUAAUAUCUUUGCUGACUAACAGUAUCAUUGCCUUAAUUCCAUAUCUUGGAAAAUAUCAAUUCUUCCGAUUUGUUUCUCAAAAUCAAUUAAAAAUAAAGUUGUUAGCGAUAAAUUAGUCAAGUCAUAUCAUAAGUCAUCGACAUCAUACAAUCCUAACAAAUGUAACAACAAACAAAUCUACGAUUAUUGUAGAUCUCAAUUUCAACGAUUGUACUCAACUAACCCUAAGGAAACACAGGAACACGUACACGACAAUCUUGUCGAUCAUCAAACGUCAAGCCCCAACUCUUUGUCUUAUUGAGUUUAUCAUCAUCAUCAUCAGUAGACAACAUAGCACUCACGUUCUUGCAAACAGCCGUCAUGUUCUGCUUACCCCAUACAGUAGAAGCUACCGGAUAAAACCCUACCCUCCCUAGAAACACCAUAUCAAGACCUACCACACUUCCCGUCAACGCCACAUCCUCCUCCAUUCCCCGAGCCGCCUCUUCAUCGAUAACUCCGGUUUCAUCUCCCUUCACAGCUACCUCGUUCCCUUCCCCACCGCUCUGCCCGAACGCCCCUAUUCUUACCGUCCCCACGUGUUUUCUCCUGUGAAACACACACACCGAGGGACUCUCGUACGUUACACGGAGUUUAUCGUUGGGGUUUUUGAUAGAGAACGUUGCUGACCAGAUUGGGAGAUGACGUUCGUUGAAUGCUAUAUGCAUGGAGUGUAUGUGAACGGUUGGUGGGGUUGGUGUGAUCAGUAUGAUUAACGCGAUACCUGCUGUGGAAACACCGAUGGUUGUGAUGACGAGAAGGAGUUUAAAGAGGAAUGACCAGCGUGAGGUGUUAGCUGAUUCUGAUAUUUGUUCAUUUGAUGGUAUUGAUCGGAGUUCCGGAACGUCUCCGGCAUGGGUGACGGUGAUUAGAAGUGGUUGUUUCCCCUCUUCAACCGUGUCCAUGUUUGGUGAUGUAGAGUGUUGAUAAUGUUUACACUGUUAAUCAGUUAUUAUAUAAUUAGUCAGAAUCAAAGUAGUUUUGAAAGAUAUAAGAUUUUGGAUAGAAUAGUAUUGAUACCAUUCUAGAUUCUUGAGUCAUCAAUAUCAGGAUUUAUUUCAUUCCAUAAAAAACAUUUAUACAAUAUACUUUUAUUCGGAAAAUUAAAGACUAAUACAUGUAGAUAUAUACUAUUUUUUUUUUGCUGAAUUCAUGUAUACUUCUUGCAGGCCGUAAAUUCAUGUAUAUGCAUGUUUUUCUAGAGUUUAGCAUUUUAACUCUUUGGUAAGAUUUUCGUUUCGUUUCUCUUUUUUUUUUUAUGGAUAACAACGAAUUUUUUGUUUGUUGGUACACAUUUUUGGGAGUUUAUUUUAAGGAUGUAAAUAAAUAACUUGAUGAAGAUUGAAGUGUUAUUCAAACACGGAUCAUCCAGUGAUAUAAACUCUAAAAACAAAAGAAGAACACAGCCACAAUGUUUAAAAUAUAAAAGAUGAAAUGAGUGUUUUUAUACAGUCAACAAAAUAUAUUUCAGAUUAGCAAACAAAGUACUGUAUUAAAAUUAGUCAUAAUGCCGCUAAUUAGCUAAAUUCGCCUCAAUAUUCUGUGGGAAACUUGCAUUUCCCGUAUCCUGCAACCAACAAAAAAAAAUACUGAACGUCACCAUAUCUUAUAUACGCAAAACAUCUUAAAGACAGAAGAGGGAUCAAGUACGUACGAGGAUGUUGCGUGACCACGUGAGCAGUCCCACCAAAAUAGCACGUGCCAUCACGACGUGCGUUUUUCUGGUAGUAACUGUUAAACGCAAACGAAGCGUGGGCCUCUAACGACUUAGGAUGAUAACACGUGGCACCAGGCUGGAUCGGACGGCAGUCAGCUCCUCCUUCUCCGCAGGCGUAAUCGAGAGCUGCCUGGAGCUUUUCCUUCGCCGCGUCUCCGUUCGACACGCACCACGUCUCUCCCUCGUGAGCCACCGGAGCCUGCUCUCUAUUCCUGUUGACCGGCGUCGACGUCGUUGCGGCGAACGGAACGGCGUACACUUUUCUCUCGUUUGGGUAAAACAGCCCGUAGUUUCUCUCCGACGUGGGUCCCGGCUUCUGGUUCUCGUUAAACAAAGCGAACAGAAACACGUUGAGCGGCUCCUUUGGUCUUAACGGCGUUCCGUUACCGUUUAACACUCUCUGCACGAGUCCGCCGUUAUACGCCGCCGCGUUGGAUUCGCUUGCACCGAUCUCGUUCCCGUCUCCCGCGGAAGGCCAACCUGUCUCCGUCACCAUCACUUUAACGUCGUUGAAUCCGACGGCGGACAUGGCUGCGUAAACGGCGUCAAGUUGAGCGUCAAAGAGACUGUUGUAUCUCAGCCCAUUACCGGAGUCUACAGUCCCGGCGUUAUCUCUGAAGAGAGCGUAGUCCAAGGAGAUUUUAUCCGCGUUCCCUGAGUAGGCGAAGAACGGGUAAGCGUUCACCAUGAGAUACGACGACGUUUUACGCAGCAAAUCAAGCAUUGGUUUAAUAACCGGUUCGACCAAAUCCGGUUUAAAAGAACCGGAAGAAGGCGGGUACGAGUUAGCUAGCGCGCUGAGAGCGAUAGGAGACGAGAUCUUGAUCGAUUUUCCGAGACUAUACUUAACCAGAGAGGCGUGAAUGUUUUUCAUCGCCAGGACGAGGUAAGGCGUCGUGUUCUUAGGAUCGACGAAGACCUCGUUACCGACGGCGAUUGCCUCUACCUCCGUCGCCGGGAAGUGUUUUCUAACGUUGUGUCGAACCCAUUUGUCGGCGAAUGAUUGGUCGGAUGCGGUUCGAGAGAGAAGCUCGUUGGGGAGACACACGACUACUUUUAUUCUUGAGUGUGCGAGGGCGGUUAGCACGUUCUUGUCGGUGUCGUAGAUUUUGAUACGGUUGAUUCCUUGUGAUUUGAGGAGGUUCACUACGUUCUCCGGCGACGGGAGAUUGUUAGCUAUUCGACCGUAGUUGACUCCGAUCAUUCCCGAACCUAUGGAAGAAAAAAAACACAAAACAUGAGAGAGUGCACAAACUCUAAUACAAAUCUAAAGAGCCGUGUGAGUAGAUGGAAGAAAAAAACUAACUUGCUUGUGUAAUGGAAAUGGUUGAGAAGAAAGAAAGAAUGAGACAAUAAGGUAGGAAGGAAACGGCCAUGAUAUUCUCUGUAAGCAUGAAACGCAUACACUAGUGUCUUUUGAUGGUUAUGAGGAGACUCUUUUGCUCCGGUGCUGAUUAAAUAGUAGUCAGGUGAAAAGAGAAGUGAGGAUGUGGGAUAACAAAUAACACGGAAGACUAGCAGAGAAAUAUUAAUAACUGAAACUGUUUUCUUUUAAGCUCUAUUUAUAGCUAAUUAGAACGUAACAUAUAAUUCAGGUAAAGAAACUUUCUAAGUUUAGUUGAUCUAUAUAGAAAAAGAUGUUAACCUGAUUAGAUUCAUGAUUUUGAAAGAAACUACAAAAAAAGAACGUGACAUUUCUUGUUUCGUCAACAAAAGACUUGGUUCUUUCUAUUUCGUUAAUUCUUAUGCGAAAUCUAUCCUCCUUUCUUUUGUGGAGAGCUCAUGACUAACUUUUUCUUCUUCAACUAAAUGUAUUUUUCUGAGUGGUUUUUAGGGCUGUUCAAUAUGGUAAAACUGAACCGUACCGAACCGAACCGAACCGAAAUAGACAAUAUGGUUUGGUUUUGGUAUAUACCAUAUAAACCGAAUGGAUAUAAUUUUAUAAAAACCGUAGGAUUUGGAUAUGGUUUGGUAUAUAACCGAUUAAACCGAAUAAACCGAACAAAACCGAUUAAAAGUAGAAACAUGUAAAUAUGUAUCUAUUUUAUAACAAUACAUGAAAAUCUAUUUGUUACAUAAGUUAAAUUUGUGUUAAUAACUAUUACCAUAAUUUUAUAGUAAUAAAAACCCUUAAUUUGUAAAACAUUUGAACUAUAACUAAAUAACAAUACAUCGCAAUUCAAACAUUUUAUUUUCUAAGUCCUUUUUUGAUCUUUUUGCUUUUUUUAGUCUUCACUAAAUUAAUAUGAAGAUUAUAAAUUUGAUGGACAAUAAUUAAUGGAAAAUUUUCAAUUGAAAAAGCAUGACUUUAAUGAACAUUAAAUAUGGAAGAGUGGAAAAACUUUUCUUUCAUGUUUUUGUUUUGUUUCAUAUUUUUAUUUUCAAAAUUUCAAGCUUUGAUUUUAGUUAUAUAUUUGAUUAUUUUAUUUGAUGGUAGAAGCAUUUUUACUUUUUUGUUCAUUUAUUUGAACAUGUAAUAUAUUUUUAAUAAAUGACGGUGUUGACAAUAUGACUCUAAAAUUCAUAUAAUAUGAUCUCAAACAAAAUAAUUAUGUUUUUUGGUAAUAAACCGAAUAAACCGAAAACAGACGGUAUAUAAACCGAACCGAACCGAAGUAAAUAUGGAUUUAGAAUGGUAGUUAUAUUUUACUAACCGAAAUACCGAAAACCAAAAAAAAACCGAACCAAAACCGAACCGAUAUCCGGAUUAAACACCCCUUUCUAUUCAAUAACGAAAACAUCAAACACGUUAAUCAUAUACUAGAAUUGACAAAUUUAUUUUCUAUCUGAUUUUUUUAACUGCUAGAUUCAAAGAAAAUCAAACAAAUAAACUUUUAUUUGGUUCAAUUCAACAAGAUUUUAAUUUGUUGUACAAACCGAAAUAUUUAAAAUUAAAUCAUUCAAACCAAACUAAGGUGAUGAUUGUUUGUUUGGUUUUUAGAUUUUGGUUUUUGGUUUUUUGUUUUUAGUUUUUGGUUUUUGGAUUUUAGAUUUUGGUUUUUAGUUUUUGGUUUUUGCUUUUAAAUAAUAUGAUUAAAAUAUAAUAAAUAGUAAAAUAUUUCUUCUGAAAAUAAUAAAAUAUAAAAUGUCAUUACCAAAACACACAUCAGCUUAUUUAGAAAAGCAAAAAAUAAUAAAAUAAUUUUACGUUUAAACAUAAAAUUAAAAAAUUAAUUAUAUGGUUAAACAUGAGUUAUAUAUAUAUACUUUCUUUUAUAAACUUGUAUAUAUAGUAUAUUUAGAAAAUCCGUACAUAUAAAGCUUUAUGUGAAAUGUGUAAACAUAAUUUUUAGUAAAAUUUACCAUAACUAUUAUAUAUAUAUAUUCAUUAAUGGUUAACUUCAAAAAAAUAAUUCUAUGUGAAUAAUUUAACUACAUAUGAAAUUAUUUUAUGAAAAAAUGAAAAUUAAAUUAUUUUUGAUAAAUAAUAUUUACAAAUUAAAAUCAAAAUUUAACGAAAAUUACAAUAUUUCUCAAAUUGUGGCAAAUAUAAUUCUACACAUAUGGUAAUAUUUAGAUUAUGAUUUUUAGAUAAUAGUUAUUUGAUUAUUUUGUAAAUAUUUGGUUCUUAUAAAUUAUUUUUAAAAAAUGUGACAUUACUAAAUAAAAAAAUAGGCUGGAACUAUAUUGUUGAGUAAAGUUCCAAAACUAUGCACAUAUAUGUACAUAUAUUUAUGUGUAUGUGAUUGUGAAUAUUACAUAGUACUGUCAUACGGUAAGCACCAAGUAGAAUAUGUAUUUUAUUUUAUUUUUGGUAAAAAGUAGAAUAUGUAUUUGCUUUAUUAUUGAUCUUUUGAGUAUUAUUUAUUAUAUUAAUAUUUAUUAAAUAAGAAUAUUUAUAAUUUCAAAAAAAAAACACAAAAUCAUCGUUAGCAUAAAACUAGAAAAACUUUGAUUUUGGCUUUUGCUUAGAAAUAGGUAGUUAUUCUAAAAACUAGUUUUCCUAAAUUUUAGGAAAUCUAAAACUUAAAAAUCUUGAUUGGAUUAAAAACGGUUUUUGGAAAAUCAAAAACCAGAAACUGUUUCAAAAUCUGCAAACAAUCAUCCUCUAAGUGUAUAAACCGAAUACGCAUGCAUAGACUGAAUCAAUGGAGGGUGGAUAAAGGGGAAUCAUAUGAAUCAGCAGUGAGGAAAAAAUCUGUAACUAAAUUUUUUGUUACGUUAUAAUGAGAUUACUUUCUCGAUAAUGCUACUAUGAUAGACAGUUCAAAUUGGUUCUAUCUGGACCGUUCGAUGGAUAUGCUCUCCAUCGAUGUGUCCAUUGCAAAAGCGCGGCGAAGCAGUUUUCAGAGUUCCAUCAAACCUUUUUAUUUAUUUAUUAGGAGUUUGUAUGCGUUCCACGAAAAAUAUUAUAUUUAUUUGGCUAAUGUUUUAUAAUCUAUUUUUAUUUUUGUAAUGUGCUUUCGUUUUUAUUUGUUAUCAAAUAUAUUUGCGACAUUGUACUAUUUUUGUUAUUAUCUUUAUGUGUGUCUUUUUUUUUAUUUAUUGAAAACACAAUCUUAUCUCAUCAAUAUAUAUACAUCUAAUUAAAGCUAACAACUUUUUUUGACUUUUGUUAGAGAUAAUAAUUUUAUGUUAGCAUGAAAAUAUUUUCAUUAUUGUAAAUGCUAUAAGUUUCUUAAAUGUUUGCUCAAAUUUUAAUAUAUAUAUAGAAAAUAUAAUUAAACUCUUUAUUAUUUUGGUUAGAUUUAACAAACAUAAUAUAGUUCUCUGUUAUUUAUUGAUAUUUAUUUCAUUUUUUCUUUUUAGAAUCACUAAUUUAAAUAAUCCUGAAAGUAAAUAUAUAAUUCACUGUUAUAAGAAAAUAUUAUAAGUUUGGUAAAUACAAUGAAACAUAAUAUAAAUUAUUACUAUUUUGAAAAAUAUAUUACUGAAUUUUAGAUAUUAUUAUAUUUAUUUAGAGACUAAGUUAACUUUAUUAUCAAAAUAACCGUUUAGAUUUUAAGAAAUAAAAUUUACUCAUUAAUUUUUGAAUUAUUUUUAAGAUUGACUAUCUUAUAUAUAGUUAAUUUAUUAUAUAUUUAGAGAAGCUUACUGUAUUUUUUAAAAAUAUUUUAUUUGUUUGAAUUUAUCCUUUAUUUAGAUCAAUCAAUGUUUAUUCACCAAAACAUGUUUAUCCUGAAACUCUAUUGUCGGCUCAUCAGAGGAUGAAGAUCAAACCUAGAUAUCGAAGUAUCCAUUCACCAGACGUUGAAGGCGACAAGGAUAAAGUGAAUGGGCCAAUCAUUUAUUAAUUUUAAUUGAAGCCCACAUCACACCUAAAUUAAAGUCCAUAAAAAAAUCAAAGGAACUAUUUUCUGUGUAGAGUUUGACACGUGGCAUGCUCUUAUUUCCCUAUUUAAUAAUCCCUCUGUUUCAUAAUACUUGAUGUUUUGGUUUAGUGUCCAAAUAUUAAGAAAACUAUAUUUUUCUUUUUUUUUUUUUUAACACAGAAAACUAUAUUUUUCUUAAAAAAAUAUUUAAAGAUAUAAUUUUAAAAUUUGUUAACCAAUUAUAAAAAAAGACUGUAAAAUCUAAUUAGUUGAACAGUUUAUAAUAAAGUUAAAAUAACUUUAAAAUCUCAAAACUUCAUGUAAAUUGAAACAAAAUAAUCCUUUUAAAACAUCAUUUAUAUUGAAACGGAAGGAGUAGUUAGGGCAUCUCCAACCACUAACUCUAUUUUAGUGUCAAAACCACACUAUUUUAGUGUAAUUUCAACACUAAAAUCAAAGUCAUCUCCAACCAUAACACUAAAUUUCACACUAAAACUAUUUUAUAAUAUUAUAUGUAUUAAGUUUUUUAUUUAUUAUUUAUUUAAUUGAAUGUUUUAGUAAUAAAAUAAGUGAAUAGUGUUUUAAUGAGAUGAAUAGUGUUUUAGUGUGGUGAAUAGUAUCACACCAAAUUUGGUGUCAAAUUUUAGUGUUACACUAAAAUAGUGUGAUUUUUGCAGUUCCAUUGGAGAGGAUUUAGUGUAAAAAUCACAUUAAAAUAGUGUUUUGCAGUCCCAUUGAAGAUGGCCUUAGAAAAGAGAAAAACCCUUGUUAUAAUAAAAUCUUUCAGUGGGAGGGGAGUUAAGAAAGUAAAAGGAAGGAUGUCUGCAACCCAGGAAGAAGACAAGAAGCCCGGAGACGGAGGAGCUCACAUCAACCUCAAGGUCAAGGGUCAGGUAAUGUGUUUUCGAUUUCAAUGUCUUCUCUAAGUUCGAUUAGGCUUUCCGCUUUCUGUGAUUCCCAAUUCUAGGGUAAAGUUAGUAACUUUCUUAUGUCCAUGCGAUUGUAAACUAUAUGCUCUAACAUAAAGUUAAAUCCUUUUUUUGAUUUUCGUUGCAAACAUGAGUAUCAGUCUUAUGUAUUGUAGUUUCCAUAGAGUUCUCUUAACCUUUAUUGGCAAAUGUAUCGAUGCUCAAGAUCAGACUCAUGUUGUUUUUUGUGUGUGUGUUAACAGGAUGGGAAUGAGGUUUUCUUUAGGAUCAAGAGAAGCACCCAGCUGAAGAAGCUCAUGAACGCUUACUGUGACAGGCAAUCCGUGGACAUGACCGCCAUUGCAUUCUUGUUUGAUGGUCGUCGUCUUCGUGCUGAGCAGACUCCCGAUGAGGUAUAUAAGCAUUCCAUCUAACUAGGCUAUUGUUAGCCUUGCAGGUUUCUAAUGCUAAAUCUUUUGUUAUUACAGCUUGACAUGGAGGACGGUGAUGAGAUCGAUGCCAUGCUCCAUCAGACUGGUGGCUGUUGCGGAGGCGUUGCUCUGUCCUGAAAACUAUCCGGAUUUAGAGUUUCAUGAUUAAGAUUUGUGUGAUAUGAAUGGUUUAAGUAGUUAGUUAUCAGCAUUAGGAUUUGCAGACUUGUUUUUUUUAUCUUGACCGUUGUCUUUAGAAAACUGAUAUGGUCAUGAUGGUUGCUAAAAGACCUUUUGGUUGAUUUCUUGGUCUUGUUCGUUUGAUAUUGUCAUCCUAAUAUCACAUGACACUAUUUGCUCUUAAUGAUGUUCUUUGAACCGAUUAUCUAAAUCUAAUUUGUAAAUCUCAAAAGGUAAACCAAUUAGAAGUGAUAAUGAAAAGCUCAUGUACAUUAAAUUGGGGAUCCUUAUCCAAAUUCCACUUAGCUUCAUCUUAACAUUCAACAUGGCGAGGAAUUUCAUUUUCAUGAAGAACAUAACAUCUUUAUCCAAAACAUGAACUUACAAAAGAAGAGAGCAAAUCUUGGGAACAAACACCAAGAAGUUUCAAAUGCAACUACCGAAGAGUUUGCUUAUUUCUGGUUAACACUGCUACUAGUCUUUUGCUGGUGAACUCUGGUUCCUUCAAGCUCCUCCUCUUGGUUUACUACAACCUAUGGCUUCAAAGAUGAGAGCAUUAACCUCCUUAAACCUUUCCUCUGACAGAGAAGCAUCCGCAAGGAGCCUACAUGCCUUCUCCUCUGUUGCUCCUUCGUAAUCCUCUUUCCUCUUGAGCACCAUAUGCCCACUUAUCUCCCACACAGCUGGGUUCACCUGCGCUUCCCACACCUCCGUGCUUAUUUCACCUAGAGCCUGUUUCUCUGCGUAACACUGCAAUUGACAUUAUUUAAACAGUUAUUCAAUGGAUCCUAAACCAGUAAUGAUCUAAAGGCUUGUCAGCUAAAGGUUAUUUAUACCUGAGGCAUCAAGAAGAUCUGCCUUCCACGAUCAGAGAUGAGAACGUUGAAAGGAACGUUGUUGUUCUGGAAGCAAAUGCAGGCAUCUGAUACAGUAUCAGAUAGGUCUUGCAUAGAGUUUCCAUCUUCAAAGAGAAGACCUCUCAUAGGGUAGCUCAGAAGAUCGGAGACUUUCACACCAUGAUCAGUAGUAAUCAUCUGCCUAGAAGCAGCUUUCUCUAAUGGGAAAGGCAUGGCCAAGUAAUAUGCCUGAAAGUGAAGAUGGUUGAUAGUGGCAAAAGCACCAAGGCUGUUGUAACCAACUCUGAAGUAAGGAUUGGCAGCCUCAGAAGCCAUGUGAAGCGCAAGCAACAUGCUUUUGUGAUCCAUCCUCUGAGGCAAGCAGUCGAGAACCCGAGGAAUCAGCAGCACAUGCCCAUACUCGAUGGGACUAACCUGUUAUAAGCAAAUAUACAAAAAUCAACCAUUUGCUAGACCAACAACCAACUAUUGAAACCAAGUCAAGCUUCUUUUACAUUGAUGGCAACAACACUGGGAGAAUUCUCAGCGAGAAGAGGCAUGCAGGGUAAGAACUGAGCUUCUUCAUAUUCACCAGCUUCGAACUGAAAGAGCAAUUCUUCUUGGCUAACUUUAGUGAAGUUGAAUUUGUUGCCAUCGAAAGACUGCAAAACCUUAUCUACACGGAACUCGGUUGGCCUCUUUAGGUGACGGCCCUCGUUAAGCUGAGCAAUAAAGCCAUACUUCCCCGGGAUGACCUAAAAACAACAAUGAGAAACACCAGAUUGGCUUCACAAGACUAAACAAGGUUAGAGAAGAGAAGAAAUGUACUUUGGUUACGCAGGCAGUGAGAUCGUAGCGAAAGAGUCCUCUUUGGUACCUAUCCUCCCACUAUAAACAUAAGAACUGAUAUGAAUUUGAUACUCAUCCAAGCAACAAAAGGACAAAACUGAGUCUCUCUUUACCUCGCCGAGGACAAGGGACUCGAGAAAAGCCACCGGAGGCUCUCUAGCUUUCUCUCCGGAGUCUUCCACUUUAUUGCAGACGUACAAAGGAAGCCUUGCCACUGAACAAAACCACAUCAAUUAGAUUAAAUCAAACAAGCAAAAAAAAAAUCAAUGAUUCAGCAAUAACGCGUACUUACUGUCAACACAACAAGCUCUGAGGCAGUUCCGUCCACAGCCGCCAACAGAACCAUCGGAAGCCUCAUUCUUUUGGUAAUUAGACACGACGGUCGGAACCCUCUUGAUUUUCAACAUUCUCAAAGAAAGACUUUCCCCACACGAAAUCAAAAGGAAACUAAAACCUAAUGGAAGAAGGAAAGAGAUGAUUUUGGGAACGGCCUCCGGCUAGAAAGAGGAGAUCGGAAGGGCUGCCGCCUUCAGACGGCAGGGCUCCGCGUCCUCCGUGCGGCGAAGGAUUAGACUCGAUUAAACAACAACCCUUGCGUCGGACAAUGUUGACGUGAGAGCUAACGCCUCGAGAUGGGCCGUAUAUAGCCGUGAUUGCUGAUGACGGAAAACGAAUGCGACCCUCAAAACAGCUGAAAUCUACGGCGGAGAGAGGGGAUACAAACUCGAGAGUUCAACGAGAAAGGAGAGAUCUUUCGAUGUAAAGUUUCCUUCUUUUUUGCCGCUGGUAGUGUGAGUUUUGGGAAAUUGAAUGGCUUUAAAUAGAAUAGCAGAUGAGUGAGCCUGAGACCAGAAACGUCACAAAUAUCUUUGUUUUUUCAUAUUAACCUUUUUAUAUUAUUAUUAUUUCAUUAUUGACAAAAAAAAAGUUUUGUCCUAUGUGACCAUGAUUUUUUUUUUUUCCAUCUAUUAUUAUUUUAUUAAUGGGUCAAGCCCAAACAACCCAAGAAACAUUAAACAUAAAACUAAAAGUCAGGAACAAAAGGCAACUUAACAUGGGCCUUAAGCCCAAACCACAGACCAUGCGGUGCCUCACAAUCCCACGCGUCCAGAAAUUCGCGAGGCCACCCACGUGUCGAAACUCACCCAUGAACGAGACACGCGUCAUCCAAACACCACAUCGUAACCCAAUCUACGAGGCUCACAUCGGAGGAGACAAAAAAUGGACAUGUGUUUCACCGGAUAACACCGGAACCAGAACCACCGCGCCCACCUUCGUCGCCUACACUCUUUGUAAUGGAGAGAUCGAUCGAGACUGUCCCGAGAUCUCAUCCAGAGCCAGUUAAACCACCACCGACGGCUUUAAAGCCACAACCAUGUCUUCCUUCUUCACCGUUCUUUUCCAAAAAUAUAAACGCCGGAUGAAACCGGCACGGAGCCAGCCGUCGACACCAAAGGAUAAGAGACGACGCCGGAGUCAGAAGCCGGCAAACGACACUGAAGGAGCCAUCGUUUCCGGAAGGAAAAACCGAUCACAGAACCAAACUCAUCUCAUCUCUAAUCUUUGGAUUUAUGAUUUGAAAGGAGUUUGAGAUCGAGAGAGUUUUUUCUCUCUAACAGAAGAGAGAGAGGUUCUCCUAUGUGACCAUGAUAUUUAUCAUUAUAUUGACUUUUUUUACUAAAUUGUAAAUAUUAUUCGAAUUAUAACAUAGCUGAACUCGAAUCUGCUGCAGUUCGUUUCAUAGAGGUUGCAAAAAGUUUUAACUUUUUUUUUUAGGAAACACAAAAAUUAGAACCAGAACAAAAAGUAUACAGAAGUUCUUAUAUAUAAAACAAAUCCAAAAUUAUUUUGUCUGCUUGCAUUAUCAUGUACGUCAAUAUGAUUUGUUAAAUUUGCAGUAAUUGAAUAGAAGCUCAAAUUGUAUGUAAAAAGAACUUGAUUCAUUAUGUGAUCAAAUUGUUUGUACACCAAAGUUCUAGUUCAAUCGAAAUGUUAUGUUGUUAGAUAUGGAGUUUUCAACACAUAAAUAAGAUGUGUGGCAAGCAACUUUUUGUUGUUGGCAAGCAACACUACCACAUGGAAUUCAUGGGAGAUGAGUUUUCUAUGAUGUCUAUUAUAGCAUGUAUGGUGAUUAGAUAUUAGUACAUAUAAACCGGAUAUAAAUUGAUUUAUAAUAGUUGGUUUAGUCGGCUUUGUACAUUUCAGAUUAAUUAAUAAAAGAUGAGAUACUUUACUCAUAUGGUAUCAGAGCCAAAACUUUAGAUCAUGGACAAAUGUUUUGAACUAGAGUAGCCUUAUUUUUCCAUAUUAUUUUUUUUUUGUUUGUCAAGGCCCACACAACGUUUUACCGAAUAUAGAAGCAGUAGAUAUCUUUUUAAUAACCACAAAAUUUGCACCACAAAAUAUUCCAAGAAAAUAUUUAUGAGGAGAAUCUCACAUUCCAGAGAAUUACGUCGAUGGUUGAGAACAAUUACCGAUAUCAUAGAAUUUUGAAAAACAGAUUAGUGGAACUAGAAUGGCUCCAACUAUUUCAACUCAGUUUGGUUGCAAAGGAGAAUCUUACGUUAACUCCGAUUCACAUAGGCCAUAGCAAAGGUACGAUCCUAGUCCCUCAAUCUAUAUUUGAUUUUUGAUUCAAAUUUCCAACUAUUUCAACUCAGCUUGCUUGAAUACUCACAUAAGGAUCCUCUUUGUGAAGAACCUCGGUAGCUCGACCACUAGGAGUGACUUAGAGCCAAGAAGUGUGUAUGUGAUCAAUUUAGAAGAAAAAAGGUUACAGAGGAUAUGUUGGGGAAGCUAUUUUCUCCGUAUGAGAUAGUGGCUAGUAUUGAUAUGCAAAGAUCCCAAGGUUUUGCUUUUGUGCACUUUUUUCAUCUAGAUGGUGCCAAGAGAGCUGCAGAGUCUGAACAUGGUAAGUUGGUAACACCUCGUUUAAACUUUAGUACAUUGUCAUUAAGAACAUAGUCACUGAUUUAUUGCAUUCAUUAUUAGGACAUUAUUAGGACCAAGAGAAUAUUUCUGAAGAGAAUCUCACAUUCCUGAAAGUGGCUACCGAUAUCAGAAAAUUUCGAAAAACAAGGUACAUGCUGGAUCAAGUGGGAGGGGGNNNNNNNNNNNNNNNNNNNNNNNNNNNNNNNNNNNNNNNNNNNNNNNNNNNNNNNNNNNNNNNNNNNNNNNNNNNNNGAGGUGCGGGGGAAGAACUAGAAUUGUAAUAGUUAGACUUUGAUGAUUCUGUUUCAAAACGAGCUUGUAACUGAAUCCGAUUUCCGAUUUAUCGAAUGAAUUAAUAUAUAAUAUUUUUUAAAAAAAAUAUUCCAAGAGCUUGAAUUUUUUUUUAUCAUGAACACAUUCACAGCGAGAAGGCAUAAUCGAAAGUUCAAUGAUCCGAUGCUUCUUGGAUUCAAUGAGAAUUAAGUCCAAGAUCUCCUCAUAACUAUUUGACACCUUUAAUUUUUCUGUGGCAAUGUCUCUGUAAUAGAUUUUCUACUAUGUAGUAACUUCAACUUUCAACAAAAAUGCUUAUCAAUAAGUCUAAGAACAUAUAAACAAAAAAAGUCAUGUAUAGAUUAAUAUUUAGUUUGAACAAAUAACAGUGCAGUAACCACUACAAGGCUCAGUAUGGGGCCUGUGAGGACAAUCCUUCGGUCGAUAUUUUGCGAACAUCUGAUAGAAAUAACAGAAUAGUUUUGGACCAUAUCUCUAUCUGGACGAUAUCUUUUGUUUUUAUGUCAAGAUUCGGAAAAUCAAAGGAAAGUAUAUAACUCUAAAACCACAUAAUUGGUAUGUGGUCCAGUACUUUUUUUUUGGCAAUCUCUACCAUAAUCGCUCCAUGCAGGAUUCUUCAGAUUAUCAUCAUCCAUCUGUGAAUAAACGCCAAACACGUGACUAAUAAAAUCUAUAAAAAAUCAUUACUUUCCAGUUGUUACAAUCAAUUCCAAAGCUCUCACAAGAGAGAGCUAGAACAUGUUAUUUGAAUGAAAUGAAACCUAAGCCCAAUAUUAUAUAUGUUAAGAGAAGUUUAUAAGCCCAAUAAAAGGCCAACAGAGAAAUGAAUUUAAAAAAAAAAAUAAGAAAGGAGAGCCAAAAGAACCCUUCUCAUCUCAGUUCAAAAGAUUUAAACAUUUAUAGAGUGUGUGUUGAGCAGUCUUGAAUGUGUGUGUGUGUCUAUACUACUACAGUGUUGAGCUGAUUCGUCUACUCUAUACUCUUCUUCUCUCAAUGUGUAUCUUCUGUUAUCUUGUUUCUGAAUGAUGCAGCCAUGAGAGCGUUUGGACCUUCUCCACACCUCCGAUGAACAUCCUUCAUCCGGUCCGCUGAUCUACAAAUCCCACUGCAGCUCCAAUCAAAAGAGGCAACACACAUGUUCCCCGCCUGCGCCUUCCACUCACAAUCUGCACUCUCUCAUUGAUCAAACUUCCAUAGUUAAAAAAAAAAAGAUAUAGGAACUUGGAUCUUUUUUACCCGUUGUACCACAACAUAGCCUACGGUCAUCUACAUGCUCCACAUCCAAUCCAAGAAACCAUGAUCCUAAAGAGACAUCCUCAUUCACAUACUUGUGUAGUACGUUUCUGUAUCCACACAGUCAAACGUAUGAGAGCGUAUUAAGCACAAAGCAGAUUAGUUUUUUUUUCUGGGGAAAGAACUCAACUUGUUUAUAGAUAUGUAAGACGCUAACUCCCUGGAGAUCGCGUAGAGCUGACCAGUGGCGUGGCGGAAGUACUUGUUACCCUCUUCUCCAAAUUUCCAGUACUCCGGCUCAUGAUAUCUCACUCCUCUUCAUAAAGAAAUGAACAUGAGACAGACAAAACAUUGUGUAAUGAGACUGAAGAAGUCUGUUGGUAAGGUGAGGAGCUCUUACUUCUGAGCAAGAACGGGUCCAGACUUCAUGCAACCAAUGUAUACUCGAGGCUUCGUACGGUAUCUUGCUAACUCUGCUCCCAGCGUGGCUGCAGAAAACGUCAGUAACAGAAGUUGAGAUGACAAUUUCAGAUAAAAGUAAAGAAUGUUUGAUUCUCUCUCUCACCUAUGUUUACAUGGACAUCAUCAUCGACUUUCACGUAGAAGUCUGCAUCCCACAACGCAAAAGCAGUGGUGAAGUAAGAUUUAGUCUUUGCUGACAGCUCUAGAUAACCUUCAACGUGAUCCUUUGUGCUCAAAAACAUUACAUAAGAAUUUUAGAAAACAGAAAGGCAUGAUGAAACCUAUCCACAACUCUCUUACCAGCCUCAAGAAGUCUCCGUGUUUACUUUCUUCAGCUUGAAUCGCUCUAUCAAGAAUCCCACCAGGAGUAGCACUGCACACGAAAAAACACUAAUAUUAUUUAUAUUACAUGAAUCAACCACGCAGAUAAAUGAUAUGUGCCAAGUUUUACCUAUGGCCUAUUACAAAACGCAUCACGAUCCCUUUCUCUUCCUCUAGCUUCUUUCUCUCCUCACCUAGGCACAUGUUCAGUUCCAGACAAUAUACUUAAGGAUGAGACCUGAGGGAUUAGAUCAAACAUACCGGAAGGCAUCCAAGUAGCACGAACCGAAUCUCUGCGCUUUCGGCUGUUAAACGCAGUGUUGAUCCCAACAACCAUCAGAUACUUUCUUUUGGUAACAGUUUCAGGAAGUUUGAACUCAUCAGAGACCGGUGAACCGUUCGUGAUGGAUUCUUGCGCGGCUCUUGCAGCCGCUAGUUCCAUUUCCAGAGUUGAGAUCGUUUUGUCUAGCGUUCUGCGUAACACACUCAUUCAAGCUCAAUGCUAAAAAAAAUAAGAAGAAGGAAAGAAGUGAAGUUUCAUAUCAGGUUUUUUUUAAUCACUUACUGAGUUACAUCAGGACUCUUGUACACUUCUCCAAGGCUUGCCUUCUGAUAAACAUGAAGAAUGCUUAAAACAAUAAUCUUUUUAGGACACUAUGAAGUUCACAUAAAAGUAGAAGACUUACUUUUGAUGAAUCACAGUCCUCUGACAUUAAGAGCAGCCGUUCAUCUGAAGCUGCAUCCCUUGAUGCAACAUUGGCUUCAGGCUCUGGCCACAUUCUAUCACAAAACACACACUUUAAUUAGGGAUCAUCUGUUUGCAUUCCACAAGAAAAUGUCGCGCAAUGGUUGAUAUUUGGUUCUGUGAGAUAAAAUGCAGCUCAGGUUAUGUACUAUAAAGUCUUCUACUUUUUUUUUUUAAAGAUAAAGUUGCAAUUUUUACAGAGCAUUGUUCUGUUUAUUACCUGUCGGAGAAGAGAGUUCCCGCGCAGAAGAAACCGAUGCAGAGUAAGAAAGUCCAUUUCUUUGAGACAAAACUCUUUGACGCCGCCGAGAGCUCUACUCCUCUAUGGUGAUGAUGCUUCAACGACAUUUUGUUGUGUUUCUAAGCGAAACCAUAUAAGGAUCUUCUUCUAUCUAUCGAUCCCAAGGAAACCCAGAAAGAAAGAAUCUCAUCAAAGAGCUACUAAAACCCCAAACCUCCUGUCUUUUUUUUUCAGAUCCAGAAAAAGAUUAUUAGAUUGAUUCCUAUGAAAAGUUUGGAGACCAAUGUAGGGAGAAGCCUAGCAAGAGAAGUCGGGGCUUUGUACUAUCAUCAUUAGUGCCGAUUGUGUGUUUGUGAUAGUUUAACUAAUAGUAUCCAUUAGUACUACCUUUAUUAGUUAAGCUUUCACUUUACAGUAAUAAAUAAUACAGUAUCAAAUGAGAUUAGACAUUACGAAGCUACCAACAUUGACCCACUCGACCAAUAAAUUGAACAACGAACAUAGUCCAAUACUCAAAAACAAUAGAAAGAAUCUCAAUUCGCAGAGUUAUGCAAUCUUUCAUCAGCAAUCUUCUUGUUAUUACAUAAAUGUGCGGGCGGGUAUUGUAAAAAUUACUCAACAUGAAAGAUGAUGAUAUGUUUGAUCCUCAAGUUUAAUCGAGUUUCCUUGUUCACAUGUUGCUGUCAUAAAAUGGCGACAAAUGGAAUCAACAUCGACCCACGUGCGCACCACGUGAACCUCAGUCGAUGCUUCGGUUUUUGGAUUAUUCGGGUUAGGAUGUUUAGGAACGGAACAUUUUUCGGAUCGGUUCGGAUCGGAUUUCUAUUUUUUUUAUAAAACCGAAGUGGAACUUUAUUUAUAUUUAAAACCAAAACAACAAAAAAAUCCCGAAAAUUUGAGUUAAACACGAAAAAAAUCUAAAAAAUAUUCAUGUAAUUCGGGUAAUUCAGAUUUUUUUUGAAUUUUUUUUAUUUAUGAAUAAUAUUUUAUAUAUACUAAAACUAAAAAUAAUUAAUAUUUUUAACAUAUUCAAAAAUUCGGGUACUCAUUUGGUUUUCGAUUCGAUCCCGGUUCAAUUUUGAUUUUUCGGGUUUAGAAAUAUAGAAACCGUUCGGAUUUUUGUAAUUUUCAAUCUGGUUUCGGUCUCGGUUUUUUUGGUUCGGUUCCGGUUUGGUUUUCGUGUUUUGGAUAAUAUGCCGAGGACUACCUCUUACACCUCACCUCUAUUUUUCCUCAUACAUAAUAUGCUUUGUUUUGGUGUAAAUACAUAAUAUGUCUGGUUAAUAGAGAAUUCUAUAAGCGUUUUUUGUUUGUUCAGCUAAGUGUCAUUUGCAGUUUGAAUAUCGCUGUCAUCGACGGUUCGAAUCGUGUGGUUCAGUGAACCCCAAGCCGUAUAAUCUUUAUUUCACGAACGUCUUUUUGUUUCUCUUACUUAAAAGUCAAAUCUUAUAAACUUUGCAUCAGUUUCAACAAUAAUAGACCUUUGUUUUAUUAUGCCAAAUUAAAUCACAUAUUAAUACAUACAUCUUAGGAAACUAAAUAUAUUUAAAGAAAUUUCUAAUAGUUCCUAUAAUGAAAAAAUUAUCUAAUGAUAUUGAAAAUAUAUAUAGACAUUCAUAUAGUUAUUAUAAAAACAUAUAAUAAUCUACAAUCUUUUUGUCUAUUCAAGAAAUCCAGUUUUCUUCAAUACUGCAUUCCUGACUUUGCUCAAGUCCCUUCCUUUCAAUUUCCUUCCAAUUCCUUCCAUAACCGAGGACGACGAUGAUGAUCGACUCCGCCGCAGAAAAUACUCUUCCGGUGAUACAUUCUCAUCAUCAUCAUCAUCCUCUGCUUUCUUUGUCUUCUUUCUGUGAACCAUUGACCACUCUGGAACAUUGACAGGAGCCGAGUGUUGUCCCAUAUGUGCCAUUCCUUCUCUGCGCUGCCUCUCUGGAAUCAUCCUAGGCUCACUCGAAAGAAAAGUUUGUGCUAGUAAAGAGGGUUUACUCGUAUGGUUGCUGAUCAUCAACGAGGGUUGAUGAUAUCCAUCAAGAACAUCCCACACAUCUUCUUCUUGAUAAUCUCCAUCUUUCAAAGAUCUCCAUACAUCAUAUCUCUUGAUGUUCUUCUCCAUUGAUAAGUACUCACCUACUUCUACAAACACAACAGAGUAACAACAUAUAAGGAUUUUUAAUUAGCAUACUCCUCUUAGCUAGCCACAAAAUAGCAAAGAGAAGAAUGUAAGAAUCUACGUACCUUAAGUUUAUUAGUUGAACCUUGGAGACUAUACUAAUAUAGUGAGAUUUAUAGAGUUGAAUCUGUGACAAGAAAAACAAUAAAAAGAGCUUGAGAAUUAGAGAAGAGAAAUGAAGAAAGUGACACAAGAGGUGUGGGAUUGAAGAUCAACACAAGGAUUGGUUCUUAUGUUGUCUUCAUAGAUAUGAUCCAAAAAAACAUGGCCAGGACCCAUAGAUUACACGUCCGGACAAUAAUAUAUCUUGCAUCAUCAAUGUUGGUGCGUUCUGUGAUAAUGAAAAGUCAAACAAAGUACACUGUCUACCAAGGCAUAUGUGAUCAAACUUACUUUGAAUGCUUCGCCACGUGAAGUAACUUAUGAUUUGAAAGUACUGGUUAUCUAUACUAUUAUUUAUAAAGUAUUUACCUUAUUUGUCAUGAUUUCUAUGAUUUUAGGUAAUUUUGUUUAUUUAUCAAGUUUUAAUUAGGUUUAAGCUGAAUCAUUAAUUUAUUAAUAGUUUUUAGUUGAGUCUAUAAUUUAUUAAUUUAAAUAUAAAUAUAAAAUAUGUAAUUAGAUAUAAUUAUUUUUAUUUUGCUUAUUAAUCAUGUUUUCCAUGAUUUUAUCCAAUUUUGCUUAUUUGUCAUGUUUUUAUUAGGUUUUAGCUUAGUCAUUGAUUUAUCAAUAAUUUUUUAGUUGAAACACUAAUUUAUUAAUUUUAAAAAAAAAUCUUAAUGAAUUUUAUAUAUAGUUAAAAACGAAUUUUGAUUUAAUAAUAUUUAAAUCUAUAUGUUAUAUUAAAAUUCUUAUUUUCUUAUUUGUCAUAUUUUAUUAGGUUUUAAGCUUUUAUAUAUGUCAUUGAUUUAUUAUUAGUUUUUAACUGAGUAUAUAUUAAUUUUCACAAAACCCGUAAUGAAUUUUAUAUAUAAUAAAACACGAAUUUUAUUUUAAUAAUAUUAAAAUAUCUGUUAUAUUAAAUAAUUUUAAAAAUUAAGAGAAUUCUUAUAUAUAUUGUGUUGCUAUCUGAAAACAAUAUUUUUAUUAUAAAGAUAAAAAAAUUAAGAUAUAUAAAAAUUUAGAAUUAAAUAUUAGUCAGACAAAAAUAUUUAUAUAACGAUAUUUUUUAAACUAUAUCUAAUAUAUGAGUGCUAAAACUUUUAACACAAUGAUAAGUACAUAGUUUGAUGAACGUUUUUUUGACAUAUAUAAAUAAUUUUAUGUUUGAUUUAACUACUUAAAAUCAUAAAUAAUAAUUUAACUUGUGAUUGAGUUCAAAACAAAUUUUCUUGCUUUUAUUUGAAACCAGUUUAAUCCGUAAAACAUUAUAGCUUCAAUUGAUGAACACUAGAAGAAUGAAAAAAUGAACAAACUAAAAAAUAAAAUUUCAUUUGAGGAAAUGAAAAAAAAAAUGAAUUUUUGUUCAAUUUGUUCCUUAUCAAAAUUGCAUAGAGAAAUUGUUUCUUAUAAAUUCAUUCUUCCAUGGGAAAUUUAGAAAAAAAAAAGUGGGAUCUACCUUUCAAUAAUUUGACUAAAAUUUCAACAUAACUUGUAUAAAUUUUGAGGAACAAAGAAUUCACCAUAUAUUUUUUCCUUCGACAUGUUCACCAACUAUAGUUUUAUUAUGCUGAUUUUUGGAUUAAUAAAACAUAAAAUAAUAAGUAUCCGCAAGAUGAUUAUGCCCGCAUGUGCGGACAAAACACCUAGUUUAUUAGUAUACGAGCCCUGUUAGAAACUACGCUAGGCGCUAGUCGGGCGGACGAGACGGGCCUAGCGAGUUAACAAUUAAUCGGGGAGUAAUCGGGGAGUAAUCGGGGCCUAGUUUUAAAUAUUUUUUUUUAUUUUUAUAAAUAUAUUAUGAAUCAUUAAUAAGUUUGCAUGACAAUAGACAAUUAUUUGAAGUAGUCUGGUGGUUAACAUAAUCUUGGCUAAUCGUAAGGACCUGGGUUCGACCUUAGAGGUACGCGAUUUUUUUCUUUUUAUUUUAUUUGCCUUUAAUGAAGGGUACUAGCGUCAUUUCGUCUUCAUCUUCUCCAACUGUGUUUAGGGUUUUCGAUUUUACAGCUUUUCCAUGGCCGUAAAACGCUUACAAUCACACAUAUCAUCGGAUUUUAGUGUGUUUUCAUGUUUUUAUACUUAAAACCUAUAGACCUGUCAUAAAAUACAAGAUUUAAGCAUUCAAAACUCAAAAAAAAAAAAAAAAAUUGUUGUUGCCGAUUUAUUGGCCGACUACAGCCAACUCGCCACGGCCAAGCACCGCCGAGCGCCUCCUCGCCGACUAAUCGCCCGUAGUACCCGCGUUUUCGAACAGGGUAUACGAGUAUCACAUGGACUAUGUUAAGGGUUAACUAUAAUAUGAAUUGUUUACAUCUAGAGACACUUUUCCACAUUCAAAUUACACUACAAGACACUUAUCACUUGAUACACACUUUCUUUUGUCAAAAAGACUUUUAUGACCCUAAACUAAAUAGAAUCUCUCUCCUCUUCUUAUUUCAUUUUAUUAUUUUUCUUAUUCUACUUUAUGUAUUUAUUUACUUUUAUCUCAAGUUAUAAAAUAUAUUAAACAAAAAUAAUUAUCAUAAUAAACUAUAUAUAAAAUUCUCUAUCUUUUAAGAUCCAUGUUCAUAUAUAUAUUAUAUAUAUUAAUGUGUAAACAAAAUGUGGAUGUGGACACCAAAGCGUGGAUAACGGAACUAUAAAUUAGUUGUGGACAUAAACAUCUGAAUAGAAUUAUAAACUAGUUGUGGAUAUAGACAAUAUUCCUUCGAUUCCAUUCAUCAUCUCGGGAUCUAAAUUCAACUCUAAUCAAAAUUACAUCCAUCCACAUCAUGACAAAGCGCAAAUUCUUUAGAUAAGAAAUCUCUGACAUGCAAAAUCUAUUAAUCUCUGACAAAAGGUAAACGCUUCUUCGAUUUUUCUCUCCGGUCAUACUCAUAAUAUCAUCUCUCUCAUCUUGAUUAAAGUUUAAUUGAAGAUAAUUUAUCAACUGAGUUGAAGAAACCAAGUGUUUGUAUUGGAGAACCCAUCUUCUUAAGGAAUAAGCUUCAUAACUCUUGAACUAUUUCCUUGAAGGAGUUUCUAGCUAAGUAAGUAUAAGAAGCAGAGUUCAUCAAGUUUUGUAGUUGAGGAGAGUGAAAGCUACCAACUUAGGAAGAUGAACUCAAGUAAGCCUUAAGGGCUUGUUGAUGUGACUAUCAAUAUAUCUGUAGAAAGAUAAUACUUUGCAGGUUUUACUAAUAAUGUCUCUGAAUUAUGUUCAUUUAGCAUUGGUCUAGAAUCUGUGAGGUUUUACUGGUAAUGUUUUUGAACUAUGUUUAUUUAACUUGUGUAGAUGGGAUGAAGAUGAAACCGACAUAUGAGUUUUCAUCUUAUGAUGAUAUGCUUGCUGCACAAGAUUUCACUCAAUGAUACAAGUUAAGAAGGCCAGAGAAUAUGCAUCGUUUUAGAAAAACUAUUAGGUGUACAAGUGAACUAUACAUGUAAGAUUUUGGGAACUUAUGCUCACGUGGACAGUGAAAAUUAUGUGUAAAUGUUUGAUAAUUAUGUGUAUACGUUUGCAAGUUUUGCUUUUUUUUGUACACAUGUAUGCUACAAUUUCUAUUGUACACAUGUACGCUCACAGAUGUGCACAAUUUUUUUGUUGUCGACAUAUGAGAUUAUGAUAGAGAUAAGAAAGUUUAUUUUUUUUUUUUGAAAUCUUGUUAUUAUCUAAAGGUCGUGUAAUUAUUGGCCCAUCAGUUCUAAAGUAUACACAUAAUUUCUAUUACACCUAGAAACACUUCUUAAAUGUGACACACUUUGUUGUGGGCCAGCAACAAAUUGUGGACAAUUUUGCCCUUAAUGAAAAAGACAGUUGUGGAUGGGUGAUUUGUGGACGAGUGAUGUGUGGUUGGGUGAUUUGUAGACGAGUGAUGUGUGGAUGAGUGAUGAGUAAUGUGUGGAUAUGAAAUGUUAAUGUGUUUAUAGUAGAUAACAUCGACAAACUCUCUGUUUUGAUUCCAUAAAACUAUACAACAAUACAUGGACAUGGACUCAUGUUACUAAAAUUAUACCAUAAACACGGACUUUGUUAUCUCCAAUACAAACAUUUGGCUUCUUCAGCUCAAUUGAUAAAUUAUCUGCAGUUAAACUUCAAUUAAGAUGAGAAAGAGUUGAUAUUGUGAGUAUGAGCAGAGAAAAAAAUCGAAGAAGUGUUUACCUUUUGUCGGAGAGUAAUAGAUCUUGCAUGUCAAAGAUUUCUGAUCUAAGGAAUUUGCGCUUUGUCAUGAUGUGGAUGGAUGUAAUUUUGAUUAGAGUUGAAUUUAGAUCCCGAGAUGAUGAAUGAAAUUGAAUGAAUAUUGUCUAUGUCCACAACUAGUUUAUAAUUUUGUUAAAAUGAUAUUAUGUGUUCACUUGAGUGUAUUAUAUAAAUAUAAACAUUUUGUGUUCACUUGAGACACUUUUUGAUAUGAGUUGAUUACAUUCAGAGACACUUUUUUAUAUGAGUUGAUUACACUCAGAGACACUUUUUCACUUUCUCUUACACUUGCAGUUAAACUUCAAUCAAGAUGAAAAAGAGAUGACAUUAUGAGUAUGACCAGAGAGAAAAAUCGAAGAAGCGUUUACCUUUUGUCAGAGAUUAAUAGAUCUUGCAUGUCAGAGAUUUCUGAUCUAAGAAAUUUACGCUUUGUCAUGAUGUGGAUGGAUGUAAUUUUGAUUAGAGUCGAAUUUAGAUCCCGAGAUGAUGAAUGGGAUCGAAGGAAUAUUGUCCAUAUCCACAAUUAGUUUAUAAUUCUGUUCAGAUGUUCAUGUCCACAACUAAUUUAUAAUUCCGUUAUCCGCGCUUUGGUGUUCUCGUGCACAUUUUGUUUACACACUAAUAUAUAUAAUAUAUAUGAACAUGGAUCUUAAAAGAUAAAAAAAUUUAUAUAUAGUUUAUUAUGACAAUUAUUUUUGUUUAAUAUAUUUUAUAACUUGAGAUAAAAGUAAAUAAAUACAUAAAGUAAAAUAAGAAAAAUAAUAAAAUGAAAUAAGAAGAAGAGAGAGAUUCUAUUUAGUUUAGGGGUUAUAAGAGUUUUUUUGACAAAAAAAAAUGUAUUUCAAGUGAUAAGUGUUUUGUAGUGUAAUUUGAAUGUGGAAAAGUGUGUAGAUGUAAAAAAUUCUUUUCUUAUUUAUUAUUAUUUAGUUAAGAUUUAGUUAGAUUUCAAUUGUUUUAUGAAUUGGAAGAGAUAAAAUGUAUAUUGGGGGGGAAGAUAAAAUGUAUGAGGAGCAUAAACUGUUUUAUAGUGUUAUUAGAAAUUGAAAGACUGUUCUAUAGUGUAAUAUUUUGAUUUGUUAAUUAAUUUGCACAUUAAAAUUAUAAAAAAAACAUCUAUUCUAAAAUGAAUUUUUUACUCUUUUUUUAUUCUACAGCAGAGUUAAAAUGAAACAGAGGAAGCAGUAGUGAUGUGAUUUGGUUUGGUCUUUAAGAACAGACAAAACUUUUAGUUUGAGAGGAACAUUUUUCGGUGGAUGUCAAUUGCUUGGGGCCCUUUUUAGUAGCCGCCAUUCAUCGAACUUUGAUACUCUUAUUUAAACAAAAAAAAAACAAUUUCAGGUUUUGGUUUUAGCUAUGCUGACCUAAUCAAUUUGAGCCAUGAUUUGUGAGAGCGACGGUUUGUAUAUUCUGGGCCUUAAUCAACAAAUAAAUUUUGCGGUCCACAAUAAAGACCAACAAGCUUUCAUAAGAAUUCGUCUAAGAGUGGGCACUGAUGAGUGAUGAGUAAGAAUAUGUGUGUUAUGUUUACGGAAGUAUGAAAUCAUGACCAAAGUACAAUACUAGAUAGCUAGGCACAACCUAAUUUACACUGUCCACCAAACAUUCCCACACAUAUCUUCUUGAAAAUCUGCAUCCCUAAAAGAUCUACAUUCCUUAUGUCUCUUGUUUGUUCUUCUCCACUGAUAGUACUCACUUGCUUCUACAAACACAGCAUAAGACUAGCAAAAAUAAUUGAUUAAUUAGACAAGAGCUCCCAACUAGUCGCAUCAUAGGAAAACUUAAAAGUGUAAGAAUCUAGGUACCUUUUGUCUAAUUUGAAGAUGAGAGAAAAUUAGUUAUCAAUAUUAUAUGAAUAUAUGGUGUUUUUAAUAUAUAAAAUUUCAAGUGGAAUCUCAGAGGAAAGAGGAAGAAAGUGACACAAGAGGUGUGGUAUUGAAGAACAACACAACAAGAUUGGUUCUUAUUUUGUCUUCAUGGAUACAAUCCAACCUAUAUAACAUUAUUAUUUCCAGUGGCGGUCACUAUCAUCAUCAUCAAUAUUGUUUUGUUCUUUGAUGAUGAAGAGUUCAACGGUCAAACAAAGCACACUACACUAGUAAUUAACACUAAUAUACUAAACCAUAUAAUGUAGCCAAUUUCACUUUUAGUUCCUUCACCAUGGGAAAUGAGAAGUAGUUUAAUCAUAAUUCGAGACUAACGAUUUAGAUAUCCCACAUGUUUUACUAAAUAAACCAAUAGUUCACAGCUUCAUCCCCUUUAAAUCCAGAUGGAAAUUUUGAGGUUUUGAACAGAAAAUGCAAAGUGACAAAUAUCAUUACAUAUAAUUCGUUUUCUACCACUUUAAUUUGAAUCUAAGCAUUAACAACAGAUUCAUAAUUAAAGUAACAGAGCCAAGAUUUUAUCUUCAAUAAGAACCCACUGUUCUUCUUCAUUCGCUUUGCUUUCCCAAAAAAAAACCUCUGUGAAAUGAUACAACAUAACCAAAGUAUAGAAGUGGCAUACACUGAUCUUCCUCUUUACGUAUUCUUUGACGCCUGUUUUUAUACAGAGAAAUACUACCCUCAUUCAUCAAGUAAACUACUUCUUGCGCAAAGACCUGGUGGCCUUUGAUGCAAAAGCCAUUGCUUUGGCUUCGUCACUGGACAUCAUCCAAUCCCUCUCAGCACGACGCUGCUGUUGCCUUGCAUUCUUUGCUCGUUUAGGGGCUAACCGUGCGUCUCUCUCCGCAAACGCUAGUCUGAACUUCUCUGCUAUCGACAGCUCACUGGAGGAGGAGGUCAAUGAUAAUGAGGAUGUUGUGGGUAUCUUCACAACUCCUCUAACAACCCACGUCUUGGGAUCAAUAUCUUUCACAAAGGGCUCGUCCAAUGCAACAUCUGGUGAUGCUUCUCGAGGAACCUCGUGUAGACUGUAAGUGAGAAACGAGGGCUUGGGGUUUACUACUAUUCUUGGACAUUCCAUUGAUAGCAUCUCCAACGAGUCCUUAUCAAUUCUUGGCUGCAGAAGAAGCAAGUUAAAGUAUAUCUUAUUAACUGGUAGCUUGUUAGUCAAGAGGGACAAUACGUACCCACACAAGCCAACGCAAUGAGUGACCGCCAUGACCAAUCUCUGUAACGUCUAGUUCUUCCCAUGUGUCUCCUUCAACAUUACUCAAGUCUGGCUUAAACAAACUCAAAGAUCUGCGUGCGGUGGACUCACUGCUUGGGCAUCCUCUGCAAUAUUAAUUUUUUUUUCUCUCAUUUGCCUGUUUUUUAUAAAGUUUGUUAGCUCCCCUAGUCAAACCCACACAGUAUGGGUUCAGUUCUAUCUCACUUUUUACCCAGCAAAAAAAAAAAAAUCACUUAAAUUCAUGAGUAAAUAGACAAGUCAUCCCAGAAAAAUCAACAGAUGAAAAGUCAGUUAAGUCCAAUUAAAGAUAAGUUUUACCCGCAUCUUAGAGUUUCCAAUGAUCGGCAGUUUUGUACAAGCUCCGAGACUCCCAUGGAUGUGAUCUUGUUGCACCGGCUGCAUUACAAAAACAAUGCAACUAUAUAUUACACGAGAUGGGCCCAAAAACACACACACACACACUUAUCCAGUGAGCAGAAGAUCCUAGCUCAAGAAUCAACAAGACCAGAACUACAAAAAAAAAUCACUAUUCCAACCGAACAGAAUCACACAUGUUUUGGUAGAUUGUCUUCUUCCCAACUUAAUGGAAGUAGAUGGUUCCAAAAAUUCGAUCAAUGGCUAAUAGCUAAGCUAAAAGAAACACACAGAGAAAGUAUUCAUGCUACCCAGCCAGCUAGUCAUCUAUUAUUAGUACCUAAUGUCCACAGCUCGGAGAGAUUUGCACAUCUCCGAGACUUUAGCUAAGCCAGAAUCCGAAACAUCUGAACCGAUAACGUCUAGAAUCUCCCAGGAAGUGUCAGCCAAAGAGAUAACCAAAUCAUCAUCCAGUAGCUUUCUUCUUUUAGCAAUGGCUGCAAUCGACAUCUGUUGCACAUGAAUAAUACGCCUUUUGAUUAGCAAUUACAUAGUAUUAACAGAUAAUACAGGUGAGAGCAAGUAAACACACAAAAGAGACUAAAGAACCUUGAUGUCGGCAGGAAAGAUGUUGGAGAUAUCAGCUAAACAAGGAAUGAUUUCUUCUAAAUGCCUCCCAACAACACCAAGACAUAAGCUGACAAGAGAUGGAGGUCCUCGUUUCAACGCAGAGAUUCCUGUGAUUUAAGCAAAAACCAGCAGACAAAUGUCAGAGAAUCCAAACACAUAAACCUCAGCUGUCAAUAAAGCUUUGCAAUUUGCAGAAACAAAGAACUAAGAGGAACGGAUUAAGAGAGAGUCGCAUAAACAAGAACGUCAGCAAGCGAGGGGGGCUUACGUGAGGAAGAAAGAUAAGCCGAAACAGGAAUCUUAUUCUUUGGUUCAUGACUCUUAUUCAAAUCCAGAUUCUUGAGCGAAGUCGGUAGCUUUCCUUCUGAAUUUCUAAUUUCCAUCAAAAUUCACCGUGAAAAUCAGAGAUCGCCGGAACUUUCGAGUUCAUAGGAUUAUUUGCGGACGGCGGACUAUAGGAAUCUCCGGUCAAAGUCAACCGAAACAAAAAAAAAACGAUUAAAUAAACCGGCAUAGCGUCGUUUGUCGGGCCUAAACAUUGUCCGAAUUCAGACAUGGGCCUUUUAUAUAAUUGUGUCGGAAACUUCUAUUACCGGUUUAGUUCAUUUCGGUUCAAUAAUCUGGUGCAAUAACUAGUCCGGUUUGUCUUUUCGCGUAUACGUUAGCGUUUCAACCGUGCUUUCUGCUACACCAUCGCCAUUUACUGAGCUCACAAAAUAUGGAUCUAUAAUGUUUUUUUGCCAAUUUUCGUCAACCAAAGAAUCAUAUAAUGUUUUCACAUUUUACAACAGUUUUUUUACCCAAAUCCAACUCGAUAAACCAAUGAAUCAAUCAAUGACUAGUAAUAGACAAACCAAACAAUAAACCCUUACUAGGUUGGAGAGGCAAAGAAUGAAGGUAUGAAACCAAAAAAGAAAAGAAAAAAAGGGAGACUCUAGUUAUGGAAACUUUGUGCCAAAGAAGCCAUUAGGAACUGCAAUGUGCAUUGGCUGAUUCGUCGGGAAAGGAGGCUGCAUAACCGGAUAUUGGGCGGGGACGCUGUACGGUUGCAGUCCACCCGUCGUGAAUGGUUGGGGAACGCAUAGCUGCAUCGGCUGACCAGCUGCAACUACACCUGCAUCACAGAUUGGUUAGGACCAAAACUUUUUUGGUUUAGUACAAACAAAUUACCUUGAUGCUUCAGGUAUUGAACAUGUUGUGCGGGUGGUAGAGGACGGGAGAGCAUAGGUGGAAGAGGCGGUGUUGCUUGAACCAGAUUCUGUAAAAAAAAGAAGAAGAAAGAAAUAUGAAGAACUUGUACAAGUGACUGACUAGUUUUAAUUCCUCUCUUACUCAGCACAUACAUUUGACAACAUGUAAGUCAUAGAUUGAUUGAACCUAAAACAUUAUCAUAAAUUCACCAAAUUGCUUAUAUCUCGAGAUACAAAAAACAAAAAAAAAAACUAAUCCUCAAGUUAUAUGCACAAAGUUCUGACCUGAGAAACUGGUUGGAGAUAUACAAGCUGGCCUGAUCUCGCAUCCAUUACCUGGAGUAUAGUAGAAGUCUUGAGAAACAUAUACACCAAGUAAAGUAACUACAGCAAAUCAAUUAUAAUACACCCCUUUUCUUUUUACAAAGUUAGUUUUCGGGGUUAUCCAUGAAAUACAACCUGAGGAUUUGGAUUUACAAACAUUGGUGAUGCUUGAACAGAUUGGUAUGGAGAGGUGAAUCCCUGCGGAUGUGCCCUAUUAACAAUAGGCCCAAUCAUCUGCACAAAAGAGAGAUGCAAAUGGAAGAAUGAUAUCAUUUAUUGCAAAAGACAUUUUAUAAAACUAACAAUGUCAAUUCAAAGAGAUCUCUAAUCUGAUCUUCUAUAAAUAUUCUCUCAACUGCAAGUUGUUAAGGCCCACUUGACAUAAUAUGCCCGAGCAAAGAUAAUAAUACUUACGUGUUGAGGAAAGUGAAAUGCACUGACAGUAUUUCCAGCAGUCAAAUUACCAUAUGGCACAAACUUGGAAUGUGGGGAUGUUUGGGGCAUAUAAGGGCUGUUUCCAACUUCUGGGUAAACAGGUUCAGGAACAGGUAGCAUGGGAGUAUUGCUUGGUAUAUAAGCAACGUUUUGAAUAUCAGGCAUAGCAGCAGGAGACGGUGAAAGACGUUUUGUAUAAGAUGGAGAAAAAUUCUCUGCCUCUGGAUUCAACUUGAACUCCUGUAAUGUAAUCAGUAUGUGGUAAAAGUUCUAAAAGUAGAAACUCAGACUAAGUUGACAGCAUAUACCAACUACUCUGAAUGUACUCUCAAAGAUCUAGGGAUGGAUAAUGAAUUUUUAAGAUCCAACAAUCAAUUUAACAUAAAUGUACACAGGAAUUACCUUAGCCUUUUUUAUGGCCUGGAUAGGUACUGGUUCAUUAGAAGAUGUCAUGAUACCCUGACACAACUCUGAGGUUUCAUCAACAGUUUCACUUCGUGAGGAUGACUUGUCAAUUGAAGAGGGCCUUUCAGCAGCAUCGUGAAAACCAUUACUUAUAGGUUCCGGCGUCAACAUAUCUUCUUUUAUUGGUUUAACUCGUUCGGACAUGUUAUCCACUGGAUGGUCGUGUUAUUUCACAUGAACGAAAGUUGGAGGAAAAGUACGUCAGAAAAAAAUUCAAUGUCCAAAAGAAGCUGAAACAAGUACACCAAUAACAAGGACGAAAACAGUUACACAGAAACUGAACUUACAGCUAGGACUUGAGCUUGGGAUAUCCUCCUGAUGAACGUCAGGAAUGUGUUCAUUACGCUUCAAAAUAUUGGCUCCUGGCUGUCUGUCAACAAGAAUCAGAGAGAAUAAAUAAAAUUAUCUAGCCAAAAUUUGAGACAUAGGUGUGUCCCAGAUAGUAAUAGACUUGUGCUAGCAUUGAUACAGUUGAUGCAGCUGCUAGACUAGAUAACUAAGAUUGACAUGGAAGUAUUAAAAAAGAAAACCGUUAACAGAAUAGCAAUACUGAGACGGAAACUGGAGUUUUCUAAAGAUCAAUACUUCAUUUCCCAGAUGAAAAUUCCUGUUUUCAUCUAUAUAAUCUAUUGCUUUCAAAGUUAAAGAGUAAAUAACAAAAUCUAGCAAGUUAAAACAGCAGAGAUAGGACUCAAGAGAGUGAUGAUUAAUCCAUGCAUAACCCUUUCACUAUUACUCUCUGUAUCAACAUGAAAACUUUAAAUGAAGCACACAGUUUACCUCCAAUGAUGAUUUCCCCUUCCUUCAAUACCAUUUUUCUUUCCAGCAGAUAAACGAGGCUUAGAAGGUAAAGUCUCCAUGGCUGAUCCAGCAAUCUCACACUCACUAUUCCCAGUAACACUUGAUGGAAGCGAGACCCCCUAAUCAAAGCAUAUCGCACAGACCCGUCACAAAACAAAGCUUUAAGAAAAAAAGUAACUAAACAAAAAAGGACACACCUCUGCAACUACUUGAACAAUGUUGGGAGACAUAAUAACAAGCGUCUCCACCACACUUCCGCUUGCAACAUUCGCUUUACUUUUCCCCUUCUUAGUCAUUUUCGCAUUCUUCAAAACAAUGCCUAAACAGAACAACAAAACAACAUACAUUCCCAUAUCAGGAAAUAGACAGCAUAACGACAAAACGAUAACAGAAAAAGUAGCUCUUCUUGAUUAAGACAAGCUUAAUUCCAUUACAGUACUUGCUUAAACUAUCGAAUCACAUUAAAACCAAACAGAAUCUUCGAUCUGAUACCAAAGAUCCAAUUCAGAUCUCUAAACUACGAGCAUUAUUAUAGCAACACAUACACACAAAAUCAAAUUCAAAAAUUCAAAUCGACGUACCAAAGCCGUUCUCGAAGGAAGCGGUGUAGAAUACUCCGGAAAACACCGAGCCGUCCUUGACGUGAACAUGAACCUGUAAUCCGACGAUGCACAUAGUCGCUAUUAAGAGCGUUUCGUUUAAUGGUGACGAUGGAGGAUUGUCGUCUUCGAGUUUUCUUGCGUGUCCCAUCCUGUUGACCCCUUCAAUGCAAAUUCAAGUCUCUAAAAUCUCUGGAAGUUUCUAAUCUAUCGCGGGCUGUUCGAAGCUAGUUUAUAUACACAAUCGUCGUACCAGAAAAUGGAAGAAGAGAUCUAGAGUUGCGAGGUAACCGGUCAAGCGGACUCUUACUUUGUAUAUGGGCCGUUAUUUUCUAAAACAUACCCGGCCCACUUUGUUAAUCUCCAACAAAUUUUAAAAAGUUAUUCCAAAACUAUCAUCUAAUGAUAUUUUUUUUUUAAAUAACACUCAAUUAUUAAAAAAAAAAAUACACCAACUUAUAAACUGCAAUCUCACCACCACUCUCUAAAUAUUAAAUCUUAAACCAUAACACACUAAACACUAAACUCUAAACUUAAAUAUUAAAUAUUUUGCUUUUUCUUUAAUAUUUGAUAAAUAUUACUUUAAAAUAUUUUCCUUUGUGAUAAUUUAUCAUGAUGUGCUAUUUGAGUUUUUUAUUUAAAAAACAAAUUUACAUACGAAUGAAAAAUUUGGUUGGAAACUAGUUGUAUUGAUUUAAUUUUAUAUUUAUUAAUUCAAGAAAUUAAAAUUCAUAAUCUCUUUAAGAUAUAGAGAAGAGCUGGUUAUUAAAUAUUUUCUCUGCAGCUGUUGAAACUCGAACCUAACACUUCUAUUCUUAGAGAAUAUCUUUUUUUUUGAUAAUUUGAGAGUAUUUGGCGGGCUCAAGUCCAACCGACUAGUCAAUUGAAAUAAACAAAAAAUUAGUGUGUUUUCAUUCUUGUUUAAACAAAAAUAAUGGUUGAAGGAAUGAAAACAGUGUGUUUGUAACCAUUAGCAAUUUAUAACCCUGUUAUAAGCAUUGAAUAAAUAAAAACAGUAAAUACAGGAAUGCUUAACUAAUAUGACACUAUGUUCUUAAGCGAUCAUUAUUUGAAACUAACCACCAGUUAAACUAAUAACUAGUUACCCGACUGAAAAUGAUACAUGUUCUGAUGAAUCUAUACUAUAGUGCUGUUCGUUUCAUAAACGCUCUAUCCAUCCAGCGCCCAGCGGCAGCGGCUAUAAAAUAUACUGUGAUAGAGACCAAAUUAACAGUGUCAAAAGCCAGAACAACCGCUAAUAGACUGCUGGAGACACGAAUAAUGAGACGCCGAUGUCGCUGAUAUUUUUCCGCGUCAGUUUUAUUCCCCGUUAGUUGCACUGCGACUGGAAAAUCAGUUAACGGUUCUUCAUCUGUGCUGUGUGUUGUUGUCAUUAAAGCUCUAAUUUUGUGAUGCUAUCGCUGCGUCCAGCGAUGAUGAAACGAACAGGGCUUAUAUAUGUUACAUUUCUUCACCAUACGUUAUCAGUAGAACCAAAUGAUUUGAAUACAAAUUGGCUCGUUGCGUUGCAUAACCAAAUCUUGAACUAAAGGGUUAGUCAUGAUAAAGAAAAACCUAAUGAACACACUAUGACUUUAGGUGAAAAAAUAUUAAAACAGGACUGGCUAUCGUUGCCUUAUAAAUUAUGUUAUAUGGGGAUGCAAGAAAACAGUGCAGAAACAAUAAAAAGAAGCAUACUGGUCAAAUGACAAACAUUUCAGUUAAAAGCACUUCAAGGAGGACACUCAACAAUUGUCACGCGAGGAAAAAAAACAAACAAAAGAAAACAAGGGGUGUAGAGAGAAUCUGAGACAUGAGCUAAUGCACAUCCACUUCAAUAACUCAAUUCACCAUUUCCAAACGGUGGUUCGUCACAGACAGCUUUCUGAAACGUCAGCUCCGAUCACGACAUACACAUCAUGCUUCACUGCAAUUAGGAAGGAAAAUAACCAAGGAAACAAGAAUCAGCGAAAGCUCGCAACACCACAAAAGAUUUUCAGGUACAAAAAACCAAAGGAUUGAUUACCUGCUGAUGCUGCUGGUAGCCACCAGGCUGCUGGUAGUUUCCAUAGCCGGCACCAGGGUAGCCACCAUAGUAGGCGUUAGGGUCCUGAGGAGGAGGCGCAUAUCCGUAACCUUCAUAUCCCUGAGGAGGAUAUCCAUAGUAUCCACCACCACCACCACCACCAUACUGAGCUUGUUCAGGUUGAGUCUGUGACAUUGGAUCAAGUCAUCAGAUGACAUAGAGUACAGAACAUAGUUAACUCGUUGCAUUGUCUUAACGGAUACAAACCUGCUUGUUGGACGGAGUGCGACCCCAUGAAAGACGAAUGCUUUGUCCGCCAAGUUGUGUUCCAUUUAACGAGUUGAGUGCUUGCUCUGCACAUCCCCUGAAAGCACACAGACAGUAGAAAAGAAAUGAGAAAACACAUUCUCAAAAUUUAAAAAACAAGCUUGUUGUCUUCACGGUCACACUACCUAUUAGCAUAUUGAACAAAUCCGCAACGUUUUCCUGCUGGUAUUUUCACAUGAACAAGUUCACCAAAUUGACCAAAAACUGACUUCAAAACAUCUUCUGUCACACUUUCAUCCAAAGCUCCAACAAAAAUCUGAUAAAGCAAAAAAAAUGACCCCUAAAUUCACAAAAUAUACGCUACAUAGAGCAGACCCAAACAAAGUACGUACCGUUGUGUUAGUUGGAUCGCCUUCUCCGGGAUUUCCUUGAGUGUUCUGAUAUGCACCUGUGCAAAUGACAGACGAGAUAGCUUAGUGGAAUAACUCAUACUUCUAUUUAUUAAAGCAAACAGACACUAACGUAAACAGGCAUAAACGACAGCAGUUGCAAGAGUAUCCAAAUCAAGAUCCAAGAAUAUCAGCAUAUAAAGCAAAAGGCAUAUGUUACAGCUUGAAGAUUAAGGUAACGAGAUUCUGAAGUUAGUAAAUAAGUAAUACAAAAAAAUCAGUAAGACUGUCCUAGGCGAAUGUUGGAUCCAACUUUGAGAAAUUGGAGAAUGGCACAAAACCUCUCUAUGGUAUCACAAGUAACUGAAAUUCCUUCCAUGGUCUGACACUCGUUACCACAAGUAAACCUCUCAAUAAAGAAGAGUGGAUAGCAUAAAUUUAGCGAACACUAACUGAAAGAAGGUAAAAAUUUGAAACACUAACUGAAAGAAGAUGAACUGAGAGGCAUGCUGGAGACUACAAAACACUCUUUAAGGGUUUCAUAAUGGAAAAAAAAAAGAAGAGCGAAAUGUAAUAAACUGUGUAAUAUGAACUUAAAGGUAGGGCUUAAUAGUAAAGAAAAGACUUGUGCUUGAUAAGUAAGGAACUGAAAAAAAAAAUUGAGACUGUAGGUAAUAAAGGUUAACUGUAAUUAACUUCUUCUGAAAACAUAACUAACUGACCUAAAUGAGGCCACGCAAUAAGGUGGUAUCAUUUUCAGCUGAAGUCAGUUCCAGGCUCCCCCAAAGAGAGCCCCUUGUUCUCCUGCUUUAAGACAACAUGAGUUUUCUUAUAAGCUUUAGGACGUUUUGGGAUAAUAAAUUCUUUAACGUGCUGAAAGGAAGGAAACUGAAGGAUAAGGACUGUAUUAAAACUUGGAUAUGUAUAGGUCUUAAGUCUUAACUAACAGAGAACAGGCUCCAUGAAUACCCCCAAGGAAAAUACAAUCAACUAACAUAGACAGUUAAAACCAAAGUUGAGUCAAACCCCAUUCAACAUAUUCAUUAGUCAUUAUCAUUCUUUAAAAACAAAACAUACCUGGUUGUUGUUGCAUUGUAAGAGGCUUCUUGUUAGCAGCUGGACCAAUACGCAUAGGCCUGGACGAGCAGUACUGACCAUUCAUCUCAGUCAUUGCCCUUAUCUGCUCACUUUCAUCCCCAAACUUCACAAACCCGUAGCCCUUGGACCGUCCAGUGGCCCUAUCAGUCACAACUUUGGCUCCCUUCACAGAGGAAUACACAACCUUGAACGUUUCGGUAAGCACGUAGUCGGUAACAUCAGGCGCCAGAUCUCCAACAAAAACCGUGUGCUCAGGCCCAUCAGACUGGCGUCUCUCUCCAGCUCCAAGCUGAGCCCAGUUCAGCCUAAAGGUCUGCUCACAGUUAGGCAUCUGAGCACCGUUGUACGUCUGGAGAAUCCUCUCAGCUGCCGCAUGGCUCACAAACUCGAUAAACCCGUAACCUUCGGUUAACCCGGUCAGCUUAUUACGGAUGACUUUAGCUUGUUGAACCUACAAGUAAUCAAAUCAAAGCUAAGAACUUUAUAAAGGAUUGAACUUUAUAUUUUCAAAAGGGGUAAAAUAGAUAUUUCAGGUUACCUCGCCGGUGAUAGAGAAUAUGCUCAUGAGGUAGCCUUCGUCCAUCCACGGCUGCAAAUCUCCGAUCCACAAGGAUUUGAUCUCUCCAGCUGAUCCUGGAUUCUGAGAUCCACCGCCGUACUGUUGACCCGGAGACGGCGCUGACUGAGGAUUCCAUGCUGCCGGCGGCUGGCCCUGUAGUUGCUGCUGCUGCAUCAUCCACGACUGAUGGUGGUGGUAAGCUUGCUGGUCCGAAGGGAUCUGACCUGAUCCUGCGGCAGCACCGUUAGCGGCGGGAGGUGGCUGCUGCAUCAUGACGGAGAAAACCUAAAAUGAGAGACGAUGACACAGUUGCUGUUUCGGACAGAGGGCAAAAGAGGGAGAAUAAAAGCUGUCUCGGUUGUCUUUUAUAGAAAGAAAUAAAUAAAAACAAAAAUAUCUGUGAUUUAGGCCUGAAAUGGGCCAAAAUACAAGAUUUCGGCCCAUUAUAAGAGUACUGGAAUAACCCGGUUAGACCAAACCGGAUAGGAGGCAUUACAGUUUCGAGUCAUGUUAUCAAAUCCUAAGCAUUGCCUGAAUUCUUAUAUGCAUGACAUAAUAAGGAUCUUCCAUAUUUUUGUCAUUUUUAUUUUCUAACCAUUUAUGCACCAAAUAUAACCAGUCUAGUCCAAUUCGAAAUUGAACCAAGAUUCAUAAACCAAAUAUUCCCCGGUUAACUGGUUGAAAGAUUUAAAGACAUAUUCACAGCUGGCAGCUCGUAAUUGGCUGGCUAGUGAUGACAACAUGACUUUUCAUCUCUUUGCUCUUAUCCUUGAAAACAAUCUAGAAACUUGAUAUUUUUCAAUGGCUGUUGUACCACUUCAGACCAAACAUACUCUACGUCGCAUCACCAAAGACAUCCCAACAAGUUACCGUCCGUCGCUUCUCCGUCUACGUUUCACGUGCUCAGUCACUACCACCACCAAGUUUCGCCCUAACCGUGAGAAGCUUGUAGUUGUGAAUCCUCCUCGCUUCACUGACACAGCUUUUCAAUCGACAUGGAGCCAUCGCUUAUGGGUUUCAGCUGGCUGCACCACCGUGUUUGUCUCUUUUGCCAAAUCUAUCACUGGAGGGUUUGGUUCAAACCUUUGGCUCGAACCAACUUUAGCCGGUUUUGCCGGUUACAUCUUAGCAGAUCUAGGCUCUGGUGUGUACCACUGGGCCACUGAUAACUACGGCGAUAAGUCAACGCCUCUAGUAGGAACCCACGUCCAAGAUUCUCUUGAUCACCACGAGUGCCCUUGGACAAUCACCGAGCGGCAAUUUGCAAACAAUCUACACUUUAUGGCUCGUGGCACAACCUUGAUGGUUCUCCCACUAGACCUUGCGUUUGAUGACCAUGUGUUUCAUGGCUUCGUAAGCACGUUUGCGUUUUGCGUAUUGUUUUGCCAGCAGUUUCAUGUUUGGGCUCAUGGAACCAAGAGCGAGCUUCCACCUCUCGUGGUGGCGUUACAGGACAUUGGACUGAUUGUUUCACGAGAAAGGCACGUGGAGCAUCACCGAGCACCGUAUAAUAAAAACUACUGCGUAGUGAGUGGGGUGUGGAACAAGGUUUUGGAUGAGAGUAAGUUCUUUGAAGCGUUGGAGAUGGUGGUGUAUCUCAAGCUCGGGGUGAAGCCAAGGUCAUGGACCAAUCCAAACUCGGAGUGGAGAGAAGAAACUGAGAUAUCUAAAUGUUAGCCGUCAUCAUUAGUUGUCGACAUGACUCUUUGAAUUAUUGGUUUAGAGUUUAAUUAGACCAGUUUUGGGUAUGAAGGGGACUAUUAAAUCUUGGGUUUAGUAACUUUAGAAAAUAAAAGUACAAAAAUUGGAGACUAUAAAUUUUCACAACUUGUACUGUGCUUGCGAUCACAAUAGCCCCAAAGCUUAAUGCACACCACAACAUUGUUUAGCUUAGUCUCUUUCUCUUUGGUUUGGUUGUUUGCACAAGAAUUUUUGAAGGAACAUACUGAAUAAAAUAUUUUCGUGAUUUAUAUGCAAUACAGAGUGAGUGUAUGGAGUAUGAAACAAAAAAUACAAAAGAGAGAAUGCACCAGUUUUAAGUAUCAGAUCCAACGAAUGAGUAAACAGAAGAGACACAGGGGAACCAGUACUGACAUUUUCCGUCUUUGCUACCAUUGUCGAUCAUUGCGAGUCCCUCCUGGAAAAAGUUAUAGAAUCACAAAGUUUCAGGACCAACAUUGGUUGCGUUGGAUUUACCAUGUGUACUAAAUCAACUGGGAAAAUGAAUAGCAGAUGCAUACCUCCAACAGAGUUUCGAGAGCAUCUAUGACCCGACCAGAUGUCCAGGAGAGACGUCUUUGUACCUCUUCCACAGUCACAAAGCCUUGACCCUGUGGGGGUGGAAAGCAACAUAAAAUCAUAAAACAUGUGAAACUUUGUCUUCUUUGUGAGGAAGAAGAAUAUAUGUAUAUGAUUAAAACCUGAGCGAGCUCCAAGAUUUGGUUAUGGUCUUUGUUGAGCUCAGUGGGGACUGAACGGACAAGCUUUUUCUUGCCAAUUGUGAUAACCUCAAAUCCGCUACCCAAUACCUAACGAAUAAAAAUCCCAAGAUAGCAGCAAGAACAAUUCAAAACUUCCUUUUUGUUUGAAAGAUCUGAAAAGAAACAUACCUUGAUCUUGCUGAUAGCACGAAGACAAUCAUCUUCGGUGACAGCUUCACGGUCUUUCUUCCUUCUCUGGCGAAGAUGGCUGCAGAGCUCUUGCAAGCUUAUCAAACCUCCAUUGAGUGACCUUGUUUGCAUGCAAACUUCAAUAAUCUGAACUCCUGUUUGAUCAAUUUGCUAUUUUUUCAGAUACAUGUUAUCCAACUUACUAACAUCACAGAAGGCAAUGUGCGAUUCCAAGUAAGAACUAUGCCUUUGUCUAUGAGCCUUUAUGCAAACAUGAACUUAAGAAGCCAUAGCUAACAAUAUAAGCAUAUAUCUUCAAACAUACCAAGUUCAUAGUAGAAGUCACCAAUACCCAGGAGCUCAGCCCAGAAGCCCUUGUUGGAAGCAAGUGGAUCCACACCAACUUUAGCACACAUUUCAUGGAACUGAGCUCUAAAGGCUGGAUUUUUACGAAUGUCAUUCUGCAACCAAUGGCAAAAAAAAAAAUGUUUCUUUUUAAUGAAACAAACAACACCAAUCCGAAAAUCAUAUAAUUAAAUAUAAAAUCAAGAGAGGAUGAUAGAAAUUUCAAGACCUUGUGUUUGCGAGCGAACUCUUCAAGCUGGGACUUGAAAGUGGCGAGCUGCUCUUUCAUCAUAUCAGUCCGUAACUUUGCCACAUUUUCUCCUAAUAACCGAUACUGAUCCUGUUUGAUUUUCAUCCAGAUAAAGAGUUAAAAGUCACAGACGAUACAUUGGAAACAAACCGAAAUAGAAUAUCAAAUCUUGUUAAAGAAGCCAAACCCGAGCAGCUGCCGCCUUUUGAAGACCUCCGAUUCCUGGUCGCCGUCGCAUCUUUCGAUCUUUGCAAUUCUCUCUGUCGAUCGAGGGGGAGGAAUGUUAUACAAUCAGAGAAGACGGCAUAUGUUUUGUCUAUUUAGUGAUUUAUUUCUUCGUCUUUCAAAAAUCAGAGUGGCGCAGCGGAAGCGUGGUGGGCCCAUAACCCACAGGUCCCAGGAUCGAAACCUGGCUCUGAUAUAUAUUUCUUUUUUUUUAUUUUAUUGAUACAGAGCCCCAUUCAAAUAUUUUCCACAAAAACAACAACCCAUUACAUAAAGAACCCAGUCUGAACCAUCCCGAAGCCCAUUAAGUGAUAUUCUUUCUUCCUAUUUAAUUUUUUUUUCCACAGUUUCUCUCACUUGAUGUCUCUCUUACCUCGUCAAAACGACAUAUAAUAUUUUUGACAAUUAGGCCUUUAUGUUUGUGAAUGUCACAAUGUUGGUGAAAGUUGUGAUUUGUGAACAACAGUACAAAAGCCAAGCUGUGUGUUUCAACAAUGUUGCAUCUCACAGUAAAGGACUUACACAAAUAUUCUUUGAAAUGAUUUGAAAGUUGGCGUAGGGGCGUGACAGUAGACUAUCACAAGCUAAAACACACAAGGAAAUAAAUCCAAACUAUAUUACACUAAGCAAAGAUUAGAUUAACACUACUAUAGAUAAAACCAUAAGGCAUGUGAUAAACACAUCCAACCACCAAAUAUAUACACCGCCCCUCUUCUCACCAACCUCCUCUUGAUAUUUGUCAUCCACAAAUAAACUAAUGUGAUUACCGACUCCUUUCCGUAUUUUAUUGAAAUUUCUAGUCACAGAACUGACCACAUAAACUUCGUUUUUAAAAGGCCCAAACUUUGAAGGUUCUGUCAGAGAAAAAAAACAAAGAGAUAAAAAGAAGAUUCAGUAAUGGCCACCUCAGGAACCGCUUCUACAUUCAGACCAUCCAUUUCAGCUUCUUCUAGAUUGACCCAUCUCAGAUCACCGCCCUUCAAAGUCCCCAACUUUACGCCUCUGCCUUCCUCUCGCUCACGUUCGUUCUCCGUCUCUUGCACCAUCGCAAAGGACCCGACUUUUCUCAUGGCAGAGGCGGAGAAGAACAAGGCAGCUGGAUCUGACCCGACCCUGUGGAAACGACCCGAUUCGUUCGGUCGGUUCGGGAAGUUCGGAGGGAAGUACGUCCCUGAAACUCUAAUGCACGCUCUCUCCGAACUCGAAACCGCUUUCUACUCGCUUGCCACCGACGAUGAUUUCCAGGUGACUAAUUUUGGUUUUUGAUCUUAUUAGAAAGUGAAAGAUCCGCGAAAUACCCUAAGGACAUCUGCGAAAUGAUUGUAAUUUUAUACAAAAAUUUAGAAACUUAAGUUCAUAAUGUUCUUCAGCAAUACAUGCAAUGCGGAAGCUUCUUAGUUCUUUUGUUUAUGAACUCUUUCUUUGUUUAGUUUGUGAUUUAAGCGUGUCAUCCUUGCGCAUAAAGUUUCAAACUUUUGUCGGAAAAUUGCUGUAAUUUGGAAGUUUCAAACAUAAAGUUUCAAACUUUUGUCGGAAAAUUGUUGUAAUUUGCCCCCAAAAAAAAAAUCUGAAACCUGUCUGCAUACUCAUAUGUUCGUAAGCAAUAAUACAUGUUUCUGCGUGAUGCAAGCUUGAAGCUUUUGAUGUCUGAUUAGUGUUUGAUGAAACUUGUAGAGGGAGUUAGCUGGGAUCUUGAAAGACUACGUGGGUAGAGAAAGUCCUCUCUACUUCGCGGAGAGGCUCACAGAGCAUUACCGCCGAGAAAACGGCGAAGGACCGCUCAUAUACCUCAAGAGGGAAGACCUGAACCAUACCGGUGCUCACAAGAUCAACAACGCCGUGGCUCAAGCCCUUCUCGCCAAGCGUUUAGGCAAGAAGAGGAUUAUCGCCGAGACAGGAGCUGGACAACACGGUGUAGCCACAGCUACCGUGUGCGCUCGUUUCGGUUUGCAGUGUAUUAUCUACAUGGGUGCUCAAGACAUGGAGAGACAGGCUCUCAACGUGUUCAGGAUGCGUCUGCUCGGUGCUGAGGUGAGGGGAGUCCACUCAGGAACGGCGACUUUGAAGGAUGCGACGUCUGAAGCUAUAAGGGAUUGGGUGACUAACGUGGAGACUACUCAUUACAUAUUGGGAUCUGUUGCGGGUCCUCAUCCUUAUCCUAUGAUGGUUAGAGACUUCCAUGCGGUGAUUGGGAAAGAGACGAGGAGACAAGCGAUGGAGAAGUGGGGAGGGAAGCCUGAUGUCUUGGUUGCUUGUGUUGGUGGUGGCUCGAAUGCUAUGGGACUGUUUCAUGAGUUUGUGGAUGAUACUGAGGUGCGUAUGAUUGGUGUGGAAGCUGCUGGGUUUGGACUGGACAGUGGCAAACACGCUGCUACGUUGACAAAAGGAGACGUUGGUGUUCUGCACGGAGCUAUGAGUUACUUGCUGCAAGAUGAUGAUGGACAAAUCAUUGAACCACACUCCAUCAGUGCUGGGUAAGUUCAAAUAUUGUUCAUGGUCUUCCUUAGUAUCCGUUUCUAAAGAUUUAAUGAUCAUGUUAAUAGAUUGGAUUACCCUGGAGUUGGACCUGAGCAUAGUUUCCUUAAAGACAUGGGACGGGCUGAAUACUACAGCGUUACCGAUGAAGAAGCCUUGGAAGGUACUUUAUUUGUCUUUAUAUGUUUCUUUGACAUGUAAUGAUAAGUUGCAUUGUUUUUGCUUACUGAUCUCCUUCGUGUGUAGCGUUUAAGAGAGUGUCUCGGUUGGAGGGAAUAAUCCCUGCUUUGGAGACGUCACAUGCAUUGGCUCAUCUCGAGAAGCUUUGUCCGACGUUACCUGAUGGUGCUAGAGUGGUGUUAAACUUCAGCGGGAGAGGUGAUAAGGAUGUUCAGACGGCCAUCAAGUAUCUUGAAGUUUAAAGAGAAGAAUACUUUUGUUUUCAGACAGUGACAUUUUGUUUUAGUUGGUUUGUUAGUUCUUGCUUCUUGGUCGGAAAACCCAAAUAGGAACAAAGUAUUAAGAAGAGAACGAAAAAAAUAAAAAUGUAUCCUAUAAAUAAAACUGUUCUAUUGAGCGUUUGAUGUUCUUAUAAGAAGUUCGAACUGUUUUGUUUUCCACUCAGCUUUAAUUUAACCUAAACAAAAAAAAACCUUAAUGCAUUAUAAACAACCAUGAUUGAAUUAUUUGAAAAGUCUACUUAAAUCUGUAAAUAAACACGAGUAUACUCACGCAUAUGUUUGAUGUCAACUCAUUGCACUUCCCUUAAACAUUGCAUUGCAGAAAUGAUGGUUUUCAGAAAUUCAAAUCACAAGACUGUCAACUUUGGUGUCAUCCUCUUCGUCCAACUAAUCAAGGUUUGACUCAUCUAGUGGAUGAUAUGGGUCGGUAUUAAUGAUACUGAUACAUUUCACAGAAACCUAGAAAAAAUGGAAUGUAUUUGGAAAUUUGAACAGAAAAAUGGUUUAAAAAAUAAACAGCAAUAGUAAUGAGUGAAGUUCUUUCGGUAUAUAGACUUAGUAUUCAUAGAAGAGAUAGGUAUAUAUUGUGGAUGAAAUUAUUAGGUUUUACGCAUAUAAUCAACUACAUAUAUGUGCAAAAUCAGAAUGUCAGCUACGAGGGAUAGUUGUAGACUUAGGAACUGAAUUGGGAUUAAGUAGUAUGCACAGUAGGUGAAUUCUCAUGCAUUCACCUAAAUACACCGAACUUGGUGUAUAUGGACAUCAAAUAAUCUUCAGAAUAGCCUAAUUUUAUACACAGAUUUCCCAUUUUAAUUCGGAAUGUAGACAAUAUAUGGCAUUUCUUGAAUAUUUGCAUUGUUGUGGUCCUGCUUUGAUAAAUUCCAAGGAGGCGUUUUCGAUCAUUCUUCGGUGUAAACCGAAAUAUCCCUUGAAAGUGUUGAAGGUUCUUGAAGAGGUGCUAUGGGAAUUUGCAAAACAGGCCUAGGAGGCACUUCAAGAGCAUCCAAGCUUCCUUC
rnacentral:lncRNA from 1 species